AGUGGGGUCUGGGGGUAAUAUGUACGCAGUCCAUACCUCUACCUCUGAUGAAGUAGAAAGGCUGUUUCCGAUAGACCUCCGGCUCAAGGCACGAGAUACCACACAAACACAUAGUAAAACACAGAGAAAAAUCAACAAUAUUCAAAAUUUAAACUAACUAAAAUGUCUCAACAAAUCAAACAACCUAACUUAAAUUCAAAAUUCAAAUUCAUCCUAAAUUAACUAACUUAUUUUGCUAAAAACUAGUGCAGUAACUUAAGUAAUUUCCAACACUCCUCCUUGCUUUAGUUACUGCGAUUUAAAAAACUGCUUCUCCUUAAUUUUUGCUCCGGUACUAAAUGCUGAAUUUUAAUAUAUUUUUUUAAUUUGCACUUUUUCUUUUUGAUAUUGAUUUUUCUCUUCUUUCUUUUGAUUCUUUGCUGGAAAAACACCAUCAACAAUCUUGUUUUGUUUGAAAGAGCUUUCAUCUUGACAAUUGUGGGAGUUGCAAAAUGUUGUUGUAAGAAUUUUUCUUCUUUCACAACAUCACAUAAAGCAUAAGUUUUGAAAUUUAAUUUAAUUUUUACUGACCAAACUUGAUAUUUUUCGCCGGUGAAAAUAUUUGGGCAUUCAAUGAGAGACUGCUGCUUGACAUCUUUUUGGUUAAAAAUAACCCAAUGCUUUGAAAAUAAGCACGGGUUGAAAAAGGUAGCCCUAAUGGGUUAAAAUGGAGCCCUUACGGAUUAAAAAUGGUAUGGUAGCGCUUUGGAAGAACUUAUAGAUCCCGUAAGAUCAAUGAGGCUCUUGAGAGACUGCUGCUUGACAUCUUUUUGGUUAAAAAUAACCCAAUGCUUUGAAAAUAAGCACGGGUUGAAAAAGGUAGCCCUAAUGGGUUAAAAUGGAGCCCUUACGGAUUAAAAAUGGUAUGGUAGCGCUUUGGAAGAACUCACAGAUCCCGUAAGAUCAAUGAGGCUCUUGAUACCACUGUUGGUUUUUUUUAAGAAGAUGGGGCAGCGAAAAGGAGGUUAAAAUGGUUCUCAAAGGAUUGAAUAACUUUCAAUAGUAUUCAAUGAUUUUAUUAAGCAUCAAGGGGCUUUAAAUAGCCACAUUACAAUAGAAAAAUCAGCAACAUUCAAAAUUUAAACUAACUAAAAUGUCUCAACAAAUCAAACAACCUAACUUAAAUUCAAAAUUCAAAUUCAUCCUAAAUUAACUAAUUUAUUUUACUAAAAACUAGUACAGUAACCUAAAGUAAUUUCCAACAGUGUAGAGACCAAUAAUUCGAAGUAUAGGAUAAAAGAGAUUGUCAUAUUGUGGCCAGCUUCUUGUUUUCCUUCCAUGUUUUAGAAUCAAACUAUUGGAGAGUCUCACAUCCGAUGAAAAAGGAAUGAGUGGGCUCUCUUACAUGACCAUGGCCGAUCCUUACGAGCUAGUUUUUGGGUUUAAGUUAGGUCCAAAGCUACAUUUUUAUACAUGGCCCCAAUGUUGGGGCCCGUAUAGAAUUGCCCAUGCACCAGUCAAUGAAUUGCAUAGCAAGUGUUUAGAGAUCUUUCUAGAACUGCAGACUCUUUUUUUCAGCACUAAAUUAAUUCUUAGUCAAUAGAAUCUUACGCUCUAAGUUGAGUAUGAAAAGAACAACUUGAAAGUUGAUAGCGUUGAAUUUAAGAGCAAGUUGGAAAUUGUUGACUUUAAUAGCCAGUUGGAAAUUUCCAACUCUUGUGUGUAAUCAUACUGUCAACAAUAGCAAUUUAUCCUUAUUGCAGUGAAAAACUAACCUCAAGAUCAUCAGGAUGGUUGAUGCAGUUGUGUCCUAUGCAGUUGAAAAACUGGGGGAUUUCCUCAUAGAGGAAGUUUCGCUGCGCCAAAGUCUCAGAGAGAACGUUCAUUGGCUGAGAAAUGAACUGUCUUUCAUGCAAGCUUUCCUCAAAGAUGCCGAAAAAAGGCAAGCAGAAGAUCACCUUGUACAGCAAUGGGUAUUUGAAAUCACUUCUGUUGCUAAUGAAGCUGUGGCCAUCUUAGAAGCAUACAGUUUGGAUGUGGCAAAAGAUGGUGAUCAUGCUUUUGGAUUCGUUGACCGUCUUAAAGCUUGUGCUUGCAUCUGCCAGAAGGAAGCCAAAUUCCACAAUAUUGGGAAGGACAUCCAGUCCCUCAAGGAAAGAGUCAUGGAUGUCUCUCGGAAACGAGGUACCUAUUGCAUUACUCACAUCAACAAUAAUGCUGGAGAAGGGCCAGACAAUCCAUCUUCCACACUAGUAAGAACAUUGAGGAGAGCAGUGUCCUAUGCCAAUGAAGAUCAACUCUUUGUUGGAUUUCAAGAGGUUUUUCAAAGACUACUUGAUGAACUUCUCAAAGAUGAAUCUCGUCGAAAUGUCCUUUCAAUUUAUGGUAUGGGUGGGUUGGGCAAGACCACUCUUGCAAGAAAACUAUAUAAUUCCCCAAGUCUACUCUCUAGCUUUCAAACCCGUGCUUGGAUAUGCGUCUCUCAACAGUAUAGUACCGCAGAUCUCCUUCGGGGAAUGAUAAAAUCUAUCCAAGGUUGCAGUGAAGAAAUGCUAAAAAUGCUGAAGGAGAUGACAGAGAGAGAUCUAGAAACUCACCUCCGCAAUCUAUUGAAAGAGCACAAGUACCUUGUGGUGGUUGAUGAUGUAUGGCAUCGAGAAGCUUGGGAGAGCCUGAAAAGAGCCUUACCGGAUGACAACAAUGGCAGCAGAGUUAUCCUUACAACACGAAAGGAGGACUUGGCUGAAAGAGUCGAUGACAAAGGUUUCUCCCAUAAACUUCGUUUUCUUAAUGAAGAAGAAAGUUGGGACCUUUUUUGCAAGAAACUACGUCCAGAGAAUAAGAUGGUUGGUGCUUCCUUGUUCUCCCCAUCAAUGGAAAGUCUAGCUAAGGAUAUGGUGGAGAAGUGCAGAGGCUUACCACUCGCCAUUGUGGUACUAGGUGGACUACUUUCCUACAGAAAGGGGAUGCACGAAUGGCAAAAGGUAAAGACACACCUUUGGCAGCACAUGAAGAAUGAUUCUGUUGAGAUCACUCACAUCCUAUCACUGAGCUACAACGAUUUGGCAUUUGAGCUCAAGCAAUGCUUUUUAUACAUUGGCAUUUUCCAAGAAGAUCAUGCAAUCGACACUGUAAAGUUGAUGUAUCUGUGGCUGGCGGAGGGAUUCAUACCAAGAACUAGAGAAGAACAUAUGGAGGAUAUUGCCGAAAACUUCCUACAUGAGCUAAUAAGUCGAAGCUUGAUUCAAGUGGCGGAGACAUUCUUCGAUAAAAUUCUUACAUGUAGGAUGCACGACCUACUUCGGGAUCUUGCUGUACAAAAAGCCAUGGAGGUUAAUUUGUUUGACAUUUAUGAUCCAAGACUAAACUCGGUCACUCCAUUUCGUCUCCGACAUGCUAUUCAUGCGCAAACUCAAAGGUAUCUUUCACUUGAUCUUUCAAAAUUGAAGGUAAGGUCAAUAUUGUUCUUUGAUAAAGAAUUUAUGAACUUGGACAAUAGUGGAAAAUUCAUGACAUUCUGUACGACAUUCCCACAUCUAUAUGUGCUGGACUUGGAGAACAUCCAGUUUGAUGGGAAUGAACUACCUAAUGCUAUAGGCAAUUUGGUACACCUCAAGUUCUUAGGAUUGUCUAACACCAAUGUUUUCAAACUCCCAACUUCCAUUGGCAAACUAAAAAAACUACAAACGCUAAAAGCACUGAUUGAUUAUUAUUGCUCAUGCCAGCUACCUCCUCAAGUAGCCCAGCUCACAAAUUUAAGACAUUAGGUAGCUCGGUAUGAAGUUCCCUUGCAAGUUGACAAACUCACAAAUCUAAGAACUCUUAAAUAUAUUCGCUGUGAUCAGUGGAAAGAUACUGAUUCUGGUUUAGUCAACCUUCAAGAAUUGGGCAUGGAAAAAAUUAGGAAAUCUUACUCCCUAAAAUCCAUUGGCAGCCUGAAAAACCUCACUACCUUGUUUCUAGUUUGUCAACAUGGUGAAACUUUUCCUCCACUGGAACCUCUUUCUUCUUGUGAAAACCUUCACAGGCUAUGGUUAUCAGGGGGAAUAGAAGAACUAGCAGAUUUAAACAAGCUGCCGAAAUCCAUCACUGUGUUAGUCCUACAGUCUGCAGGACUUGUGGAAGAUCCAAUGCCAAUUCUGGGAAAGUUUCCAAAUGUAAAGCAUCUCAAGUUAUCAUGGGCUUACAAGGGAAAGAAAAUUACUUCCAAGGGCAACAGUUUUGGUCAACUGGAGACCCUUCAACUUGAUAAUCUGGAAAAUCUAGCAAGCUGGCAUCUAGCCACAACUGCUAUGCCUCUGAUAAAAGGUUUGAAUAUAUUAAAGUGCCCGAAGCUGAAGAAAAUUCCCGAGCGAAUGGAACAUGUUGCGGUACUUGAGAGUUUUCAACGGCAAAGGGACUACUAUUGUUGGUUGCCAAACCAGUAACUGAUUUGCUGCAUGUCUGAAGCUUUUGAGGUAGGUAAAUUCUCAUCCUUAGUUUACCAUUCGUUCUUUACUUUACUUUUAUUCUAUUCCACUCAAUAUUAACUUAAUGCUUCAUCUGUCCUACUUAUUGCCUCAUUUCUUUAUAAUCUUGCUAUUUUUGCUGUCAUGUUAUUCUUGCAAUCCUGCUUCAAAAACAUCUAUUUUGAACCAAGGGUCUACCAGAAACAACCCCUCUACCCCAUAUAGAUAGAGGUAAUGUCUGCAUACAUCCUAUCCUCCUCAGUAACCACUGGUGGAAUUACAGUGCGUAUGUUAUUGUUGUAUAACUGAAUACUAAGUUAAGAUUUACUUAACUGAUUCAAAGCUUGUUGUCAUUUGUGAACUUAGUGAAGCUGCUUCACUGUAUUAGACAUGGUUGUCAACUCACAGGCAAGUGUAUUGGAGUUUUGGAUAUGUAUCCAUCUAUAACUACACAUUUUCUAGAAUAGGUGCUUACUAUUUAGUGUAAAAGCUCUUCAUGAUCAAAUGUUUCUGAAUUGGUAUCCCAUGGAGUAAGGUUUAUACUUGAUAAACAUUGUUUUGUUAUUCAAGAGAUCCAGAAUAGACUAUAUCAUUUGUGUGUGGUAUUUUUUCCCUUUAAUCAUGUGACGAGGAGGAUUAAGAAAACAAAUCUAUGUUGAUGUAUAGCUUUUUCACAUGCCAUGUUGAGAAAAUCAUUUUGAUAUCAUCCCUCUUUUAUGACAUCCUUUAUGGAUGUAUUCUUACCAAUUAGACUUUUAUUAUUUAGGGUGCUGGGAGAUAUGUCCUGAGAAACUAGAAGUGCAUCAAAUAUGGCAUGGUCUCUGGGACUAUGAACGUGAUCAUGCAGUUUUAUUUAUAUUUGCACUAAAAAUGAAGUCUUUUCUCUUUCUCAAAUUGAUUUCCUGAAUGUACUAAUGUUCUUGCAGUAUCUACCAACAUAUAUCUUAUGUCAGUCUCUUAACAGUUCCUGUUGUAUGGUUUUAUGCAACAUCUUGACCUGGAGUGUCUCAUACAAGAAUGCAAUUGAUGCAUCUUGACACACUGAUAGCUUUGGACUCAGUGUUGUAUGACAAUUCUCUUGACCACCAAACUUUUCCAAGAAAUUUCUUUUCACAAGUACAAUAUAUAGAAUAAAAUUCGAAGAGAUAUUUUACUGGACGAAACAUGUUCUUUCACUUAUUUUCGCAUCACUUAGGUGCAAAUCCUAUUUCCUUGAUUAUAUUCUUGAAACAUAUAAGGGAUGGGUUUGGGCCGUGGUAGCAGCCACUUAGGGUAGGCUGUCCACAUCUUCCCGGACCCUGCUAAUGCAGGAUGCUUUGUGCUCCAGGCUGCCCUUAUAUGCUUGAAGCCUGAUUUGGUUUGAAGAAAGUUUGGUGUGUAGAACUAGUGAACACUAAAUUGAACAAGUUUGGUCGAAACUUGCCUUUACUGUUAUCAAGACCUAUAUCACCCUGGAAAUUUUCAUCAUCCCUAUAGUAAAGGUCUCUCAUGUUGCAAUUCCCCAUGCUUUAUGCAGGAUAGACAUACCAUAUCCACGAAUGUGGGGUUCCCACAUACAAAGGGUGAUCGCUUCUUUUGUUGCUUCUGUGGAGGUCUGUGCUCUGAUCCCUUACUUAUUUGUUGGCUAUUGAUAUGCAACACAGUCCUCAGUUAAAAUGUAAUUAGCCUUCUGUGUAACUGGAUUUUCCUGUUUUGUUGGAGGCCUAACUUCUGAUUUGUGGAAUUAGGUGCUCUGUUAAGUGUAAUAGUUUUGGUUGUUAAUGGUAUUCACAAUGGUUUAAAAAAAAAAAAAAAAAAAGGAAAAAAAAGAGGUCUGUGCUCUGAUCCCUUACUUAUUUGUUGGCUAUUGAUAUGCAACACAGUCCUCAGUUAAAAUGUAAUUAGCCUUCUGUGUAACUGGAUUUUCCUGUUUUGUUGGAGGCCUAACUUCUGAUUUGUGGAAUUAGGUGCUCUGUUAAGUGUAAUAGUUUUGGUUGUUAAUGGUAUUCACAAUGGUUUAAAAAAAAAAAAAAAAAAAAGGAAGAAAAACACAAUCCCCGUAUCUGAUGUUGCUAAAAAUGUAGGCUACAAGAAAUAUGUUGUGAACUGUUUUUCGUUUUCAUACUCGGGUCUUCCAUUUCAUAGCGAAAUCUAGUCUUGAAUUCAGUUUGAAUCCUUUUGUUGUGCAGUCAACUGGUGUAUUUCUUGCAUCAGCAAGAUACGGAAGUGGCAGUGCUAUACCAGUGACACCGUCUUUCAUUAGCCGAGGUGUUGCCUUGCCUGGCUGGUGAGGUCAAAUGUGCUCUUCCUCCUGAACUUUUAACUCUUGUCAGGGGAUAGGGACUUUGCUAAAUGCUCUUUUUGGUGGUGUCACUAGUUGCACUGCUACAACAUAACCGUAUCUGAUCUCUAUAAUUCUCUUUCAAUCUAAAUUUAGGCACAAAUAGCUACAAAUACACUCGUCCGUGCUUGAUUUUCAUAUGAUGUACCAUCAACUAAAUAUGUUUGACAUAGAAUUGAACCAGCUAAAACUUAACAGGGAGAAUGCUCGUCUCUGGGGUCUGGGCAAUGACAAGAGUGUGAAGCCGAAGAGUCGUGCAAAUAUUGCUGCUGCUUGUAUGAUUAUCUUCUCCAUCUUAGAAAUGUUAGUGCUAAUCCAUUGAUUCAUGGACAAGAACCUAUUAGAUAUGCAUUGUUCUUCUUGAACUGCAGUUCAAUGACAAAAUGCCUGUCAUCUUCAUGUCACACGCCACGAUAGCUGCUGUCGUUGCUAGAUUUCUGGAUCGGACUCUUCCAUUUAGUAGCGAUGAAGCUCGAAAAUACAAUGGUGUCACAUUGGUGGGACAAGUUUGUGGUAUAUACUAAAGAUGUUAGAAGUGAUGAGUUCUAUAAAUUACCAUGCCAACUCAAUAGGUUCUUCUCACCUUAUUAGAACAAAACUAGUAUUCAUUAUAAAAAAUUGAUAUAACAAAUUUUAUAUAUAUAUACUAAUUAAUUAAUUAUCAACCAUCAAAUUGUUUAAUUAUCGUUGAGUCUUCAAACUCAAAUAUUUAUCUGUAUUGAAAUAUGUAAUUAAUGUUUAACUAAAAACACCAUGUAGAGAGAAUUGCUACGUUCAUAGAUAACUUAACCUUUAAAUCAUGUUCACCAUCUAAACUUCUUGUAGUAUGGAUACCAAUAUGUAAUAUUAUACAAAUUUUUAAGACAUAUAUAUUUACAUAAAAUACGUAAUUUUACGAAAAAAACACAUAUUCACAUUCCACAAUUAUUUAAUGAAAAUUCGCCCCUCCCUUGUUACCGUGAAAUACAUGAUAAAGCUUAAUCAAUGCAGUUCAAUGUGCACUAUAGAAUAGGAUAUGAUUUAUCCAUAAUAUAUGUGCAACAAAACCUAAGUACAUUAUAGUCGAACCAUUCAAUACUCAGGAAUAUAUAUAUAAAAUGCUUGCAUCCAUGUACGUUGAUCACGAUCACAUCCGAUUUCAUCAUUAACACUUGCCAGGUGCUGUUUUCAUCUGUCUACUGGCCAAUAUUUGUCAUUUCAAAAACCACAAUAUUAAUGAGAAGUUUAGGAGCACCUAUAGAAAAGCAAAUAAAUAUCAAUUAAUAAAAGAAACUGAAAUAAAGAAAAAUGCCAAAAAUAGAUUUCUUUUAUCUUUAUUUCGUUUUGAAAGUAAAAAAUUAGGAAGGGAAGUACUAUCACAUCUAGAAAACCAAUAAAUGAGAGAAAGUUAUUGAAUAUUAAACAUUCAAUAUUCACAUGGCGCCUCCAAUUUACUCUUUGUGUUUGAUUUAUUUGAUAACUUCUGAACAAAAUGGUUUGAUCUAAUAUAGCUUUAAGAUCAAGAUAACAAAAAUGUUAGUGAGGUAAAUGCUAACAUCAAGCUAAUACUUGGACAAUAUAGCUAUAUUUAAAAUCCAAAUUCAAAUGACAUAAAAAAUAAUAAUGAAUUUUUACCACAACAUAAAGAAUUUAGGCAAUUAUGAUUUCAUUUGACAUGUCUCAUCAAUAACUAUGAAAAACUUCGAAAUGACCAUAACUAUCCUCUUGAUAGAUUAACAAAAAUCUCAAGAAAAAUUAUUCAUCUAAAAUGAUUUAAGAAAUAUCUUAUUUGAAUCAGUAAUAUGACUUCUAUCGCCUUUAUAUAUUGUAAAGACCACCUGAAACAACAACAAUUCAUAGAGGCUAUAUAGAUCUAUUAAUUUCUUCAUUUUGAAAUAAACACAAAAUUUGACACUUGCAAGUUCUAAUUUUAAAAUAAAUAAUAAGUAUAGAGAGAAGAUUCAUAUAAGAUAGACGACAACUUAUAUGUCCGUAUUGCAGUUUUAAUUUACUCUAAUCUAAUGCAACAAUUGCUCUUUGUCUUCACUGUAACAUUUGUCGCUGGCAAGAUAACAUUCCAGAGUUGUGUUUUUGGCUGGGAAUUGAACUACUUCUAACUAAAUCAUUUGAGGUUUAAGGGGAUUUGUUUAAAUUUAAAUGCUUCCUAAGAUAACAUGUAUUAUUCCUAUUACACCAUACCCAUGCACUAAAUACAGUAAGUAACCAAACUAUCUACUUCGAUGGUACCUACCCUGCUAUUUCCUCUUUCAACAAAAUUAAUUAAUUAAUUAAUAAUAAUUUUAAUAAUUUUGAUAAUUAGUUAUUGCAAUUUGAAGUUUUUUUUUUAUUUGUUAAUAAGAAAAUAUUUUUCUCCUAAUGUCCAGGGACGUGUAAAAAUGGCAUAGAAGUUUAAAAGUGGUUUAGAAUGAAAUAGAUAAAGAAGUGGUAAAAACUUACACGCACCUGGACCCGGUGUAUAUACUAAACUAAUGUCAUUUACUAUGGUUAAGUAAUUAAAUUAAAUAAAAUAUAUAUUAAUUAAUCAUGGUUAAGUAAUAUGAACUCUAAAUUCAAACACAUGUCAUGCAUGUAUUGGCUUGGUGUAUACACCAGGUGCGUAUAAAUUUUAACCGAAAAAAGUUUGAAACUCGACUAAAAUUCAGCAAUUAAAAUAUUUUAAAUGAUAAUUACCUAAUUUGCGUAGAUUUCUACGAAAUGAUUACAUUAGGAUAAUGAUAAACUAAAAAGUGUAAAAGAGAAUUAGAUUAAAAUUAAGAGAAGUUACAAUCUUUUUAAAUUUUACAAAAAAUCAUGGGGAGAAGUUAUAAUCAGUUUAACUUCAUCUGGAGAAGUUAUAUUCAGUUUUACAUUCAAAAUACUCAACAAAUUAGAAUGAUGACAUAGAUUAAGUGAAAUUUAAAGCCAAAGUUUUUUUUUUAAAAAAAAAAAAAAGCUAACCAACUUCUAUGUCAGAUCUUAAUCUAAUUAAAAUUGCUACAUUUCACACAUUAGCAAGUAGCAAUAUUAAACGUGAUAAAAAUUUCAACUUAGUGUUUGUUUUUUGUGUAAAAUAAUUUGUUCAUCUUAUCUUAAAUUAAACUACAGCAAAGUUAUCAUAUUAUUUCAACUCAAAAAUAUUAUAUAAAAAUAUCAAUCAAUCAAUUUAAAAGCAGCCCGAUAAAAGGAAAUAUUGUUACCAAUAAUUGCAACACAAUUUGAAUGUAAAAUACUUAGAAGUUACUUCCCAUUCUUUUUAAUAAUCUAUAACGUGGACAUUUGGUACGAUUUUAAAAACUUGACAACCAAAAUACAAACAUAAAUUUGUGCACGGAAGAAAACAAAUACCAACCCAUAUUUUACUAAAAGAAGUAAGAAGAAUCAAAACUUUCUCAAUUAGUGUGAUAAAAAUGAAACAAAACAAUCAUAUUUUCAGUCUCACAAUCAGUAUGCCAUACUAUUCCCUAAAAUGAAAAGGAAUAGAAAUAUGCGUUAUCCUAAAAUCAGAAAGUGAAGUCUAUUUAUAUGUAGAAGUUGUAGGACGAAAUUGCUCUAUAUCUUUAUGUUGAUAUCAGUAGGAUGAGUCACCAAAGAUGUGGAAGAGAUCUAAAAAAAAUUUGUAAAUCAAACCUUUAUGACAAGAUUUUUUUAGUUACAGUAUUGUUUUGCACGGGCUGUGUCCAAUUUUUUUGCCUCCGUUUCCACAUACUCACUGCAAAGUUAAGCAAUAUGAAAAGGAUUUUUAGACUUUUGUUGUCAACAUUUUGUCAUUGAAUUGACUAUUAGUUGAAGAUGGAGUCAGUUAUCACAUGGAAGAAAGAUUGUUUAAAUUGAGAAUUAACUGUAAAAAUACAAUAGAACUGAUAUGCUUUAAAAAACUGAUUUGUCUUAAUUUUUCUUUUUGGUUUUGUAUUGGUUAUCUAUUUAUUUCUAAUAAUUAUCUUUUUUUUUUUGGAACUUUAUCCUUAAAUGCCAAGUGGCUUAUUAUUGAGCUGUCACUUGGCUUAAUGUAGAGACUUUGUCCUCUACUUUUAAUAAUAUAUAGAUAUAGAUAUAGAUAUAGAUAUAGAUAUAGAUGUAAAAUUUCAUCACUUGAACUCUUCCUAUGUUUUGUUCUUAUUCCUUCAUAAAUCUAUAUGUCAUUUUUGUUGCCUCAAAUGGCUUCUGUCAAAGAUGAUUAAUUGAAUUAUUUGAAAAAAUUGUCUAAAGCUAAGAUCAAUUACAUCUCUAUAACAACAACAUCCAUUAUUAUAACCAUUAUUAUAACCAUAUAUCUCCAUAAAAUUACUUCUUUAUAACAAUAUUACAAGAAAAAAAGUAUAUUUUGUCGACCUAGUUUUGUAAACUAAACCACAGUCAAAUUAAUUGCCCCGUUAUUUCCUUUUGUUUCCCCAUUAAACAAAUGUUUUGAGAUUUUUUUUUUUCAUGAGGGAGUAAUAUAUUGAAUAGGAAUCCAAGAUUUCCGGAUAUCAAGGCCGAAAGAAUACGUAUCCAAUUAUAUCAAUUUGGGGUCAUUUAACCUAUUCAAACAAUUUUGAGUAUUUAAUAUCGGGGAAUCUUAGUAACUUAACUGGUUAGUUACCUGAACUUCCACGUUAUUGGUGAGGGUUCGAUUCCCCAUAUUGUAAUCCCAUUCCCCUUCUUGAAAUUAGUAUUUUUCGUGUGACUUAUGUUGUUGUUGUGAUAUUGAAAUUAGUACUUCGUCUUAAUUUAUUUAUGUUAGAGUUGUGACCCGAAUUUUGUUGAUCCGGUCCAGAAAAUUUCGCGGUUCGACCCAUGUUUGUGAUUUUCAAUGGAGUCUGUGAUGGUAGCGUAGGGAUCGGGCCGAUAGGCCCGUGGACCCUGAUGUUUUUUGGGGUCUAGGACUUAUUUGUAUGCACAUAUUAUAUAAGUGCAUUUAGUGGGUUGUUUUGUGCAUCCAAAAAAUACUCAUUCUCCACAUUGUACUCCUCUCCUUUCAUUAUAGUGAAACAUCCUCUGCCUCUGCCCGUGAUUUUUUUCGCAAGGAUUUCCACGUAAAUUUGUGUGUUCUUGUUUUCAUUUUGCUUGUGGUUUUCUUUAUUUCUACCCGAUUUCUAACAAACUGGUAUCAGAGUGUGUUCGAAUGUUUUCUCGGGGAUGGCAACCAUGAAGUAUGAUAUUCUGCUAUUGGAUCGUAAUACCAGAUUUUCGUUAUGGCAAGUUAAGAUGCGGGUUGUGCUCGCGCAGAUGAAUUUGGAUGAUGCUUUAUUAGGGUUUGAGAAGAUGCCCUCAUCGUGGACGGACGAGGAUAAACGGCGUAAGGAUCGAAAGGCUCUAUCACAGAUCCACCUUCACUUAUCCAAUCAAAUUCUAUAGGAUGUUUUGAAGGAGUCCAUUGUUGCUGCAUUGUGGUUGAAACUAGAAUCUUUAUGCAUGACGAAGAGCCUAACAAGUAAGUUACAUCUCAAAAAGCGACUUUAUUCCCAUCGUAUGUUUGAGGGUACGUCUUUGGAAGAUCACCUAUCUGUCUUUAAAGAAAUCAUCUCUGAUUUAGAGACUCUAGAGGUUAAGUACGAUGAGGAAGAUUUAGGGUUGAUUUUGUUGUGUUCGCUGCCUGUAUCAUACACGUUCUUUAGGAAUACGAUUUUAUAUAGUCAUGAUACCCUAACCAUAGAUGAAGUCUAUGAUGUGUUGUUCUCUAAGGAGAAGAUGGAACAUCUUGUAAAUAGGUCGGAGACUCAAAGAGAUGGUCUCAUUGUUCGAGGAAGGACACGUGAGAGAAAUUCUGGGGGUAAUGAUAUGUUUAGGUCCAAAUCCAAAAACUAAAAUAAAACCUGUAAUUACUGUAAGAAGAAGGGCCAUAUCAAAUCUGAGUAUUAGAAGCUAGAGAAUAGAGAUUAAAAAAAAGCUCCAAAACCGAAGGGAAACCAUCCAGAGAAGUCCGGUGAAGCCAGUUUUAUGGAAGAUGACAGUAGUAAUGGAGAACUCUUAGUAGUUUCUGAUGGUAACUCCAAACCCUAUGAGGUUUAGAUUCUUGAUUCAGCUUGCACGUUUCAUAUGUGUCGCAAUCGGGAUUGAUUUACAACAUAUGAAGCAGUCUCUAAAGGUAUUGAGUUGAUGGGAAAUAACACACCUUGUAAGAUAACUGGUAUUGGAACAAUCAGAAUUAAGAUGUUUGAUGGGGUUGUGAGGACACUUGGUGAUGUACGGUAUGUACCAGACCUAAAGAGAAAUCUUAUUUCCUUGAGUACUCUUGAUUCAAACGGAUAUAGGUACACUGGUGAAGGUGGAGUCCUGAAGGUUACUAAAGAUGCUCUUGUUGUGAUGAAGGGACAGAGAAAGUCUGCAAAUUUGUAUGUCCUGCAAGUGUAGACACCUAAUUUUGUCCCUCCAGAAGUCCAAUUUUAUCAAUUUUUAGCUCACCUCACCACGUACCCUCUCCAAAAAGGAAAGGACACAUCACCCUCACCACUACCCCAUCACCUACCCUACCUCCUCACCCCCACUCAUGUGACCCCCCUCCUCAUGUUUCUUGACCACAAAGGAAAAGAAAAACAGACAGCUGUACAAAGUUGAUGCCAUUUUGCUCUCUUUUGGAUUUUAUAGGAACAAAAACAUACCAUGUAUUUCCCAGGUGGGACCCAAAAAAGAGGGACUCCCAUGAAAAAGGGAGAAUAUAUAUGCACAUCAGAGGAGAGCACAGGGGAUUGAGGCCAAAAACACACCCUUCUCAAAAAUCUCCAUCUCCAUUAAAACACCACUCUUGUCCACUCCAAUUUCACCAUGGCAUAAAGAUUUCACUACACUAACCAUCUUUCAUAUACACUCUGAAUCCUCACAGAUAUGCACACACACACACACUUAAAACCAGUGAAGGAAACUCCAAAAAAAGAGACUCUCAUUUUGUUCAUCGGAGAGAAAUUGAGAAAGGUGGAAGACAGGUUUGAAAUCGAAAGAGAGAGUCGAAAACUAGGAGUAUAGUUUGAAAUCCGUUGGUUGUCUUUAGAUCUCCGUUAGAAUUUUACCCCUGUUGACACCUAAUUUUUGCCCUCCACAACUAAGUUUAAUUUCGAGCUUCUUGAGUUUUAAAUUAAAUCACAACAUAUAUUUUAUCUGAAUAAGAAUCUUUUCAAAGUAUUUAUUUGGGUAAACUUAUCAUUUUAAGUAGCGAUUAUAUAUUAUCGUAUUCAGUUAUACGAGAUUAUAUAAUUUUGUUACGUAAAUAUUUAUUUUACGAAGUAUUGAAUUUUUUAUCAAGGAUUAUUUUAUAAAUAAAUUCAAAUGAUUAAAAUUUCGAUUUGAAUAUAAAUUUACUCUCCAAAAAUAAUUUAUUUGGAUAAAUAUUUAUUUAAUUUUAUCAAAUCAAGAAGCUCAAGAUUAAACAAGGUAUUAAUUCGUAUCGAAUCUAGUUUAAAUUUAGUUAAUUUAUUAAAUUUGACCAUAAUUGAAAUCAAGUUGAUCAAAAUUGCGAUGAAAUUGAUCAAAUUGAUAUCCAAUUUGGUUAAGAUUUAAGUAAAAUUGGCUAAAAAAUUAAUUUUAUUUGGCCUUCUACCCCUUUUUAAUUUUAAAUUGGACCCAUUAACCUUCAGCAACAACAAUAUUUAAAGUUGGCCCAACCAGCUCAAUCCCUCCCAAAUAAUAUACAGCAUCUUCAAUAAGCCCAAAAUCCCUCUGACCCGGCCCAUUUAUUGAUUUUUCUCCUUUUCAACACAAACGGACGACCACAACACCAAUACGCCGUACAAAGAUCAGCGAAAAUUACGACAUCGAUUUCUACCAACCAAUAAUUUCAACCGAACCAGACCGAUUUCGAGAAGACCCAAACUGACCCGACCUUCUCCAUACUCGUCACGUGCUCUCCCCACAUGGGUUUGUACGAGGAAAGCUCGGGAAUGUUCUAGAAUGCGUCUAGGUGUCAUCCUCCCAAUGGAUAACUCCAUAAAUUUUGGGUUCGUGGUACGAUUCGGGUACAUAUUUGGGCAUUUUUUAUUGGUUGAGAGGAGGAUUAGGUUUUCCCAAAUCUUAUUGGUCCACCCAUCUAGGAUUCUCUGAGGAAAUCUGAAUUGGGUACAAUUUCUUACCUGUAAAUUAGCUCCUAGUUUUCGAAUUUCAAAAGAAAGGGGGGACCCCAACUCAGCUUUCUAUAUAAAGAUAUUUAGGGUCAUUGUUUGGGGGGUUUUCUUCUCUGGGAAGGUUUGAGGCUCUGAGGUUGGAAAUUCUGAGGGUUCAAAAUUUUUUCUUUUUUAAAUUUUGAGAGAUUUUUUAUUUUCAGGUCGCCUGCUAUAGGAUCGAAAAAUUCUGGGGGGUUCUUUGGAGGCUGAUAAUUCUGGGGUUUAGAAAAAUUUCUAAAAACCUAGGUUGAACAAAAUUUUUUUUUUGGGUAAAAGAAGAAGGGUUUCGGAAAAGAGUAAUUUGAUUUCAAAGAAAAAGCAACUUUGUUCGGUAAAGAUUUUAGGCAGAAAUAGUUAGCUAGUCGAGUGUUCACGAUGGUGUUGAACUUUCCUGGUGGUGAUAGGAGUCCGAUCUUAGCUCGUUGCCCCGUUUCGCUGCUCUGAGAGAGGUAAACUGCCUUGGAGUCCAAAUGGACUCUUUUCCCCUUUGCAUUUCAUAAAGGGCCAAUGAGGCCUAUCCCUUGAGUCAAUCCCGAAGAGCUAAGAUCAGAAGUUAUUCGCAUGGCAUACGGAUACAAGAAGUCGAAAGGAGAAGAAUGGAUUAAAGUCCUACGGUUGAAGCGGCCAAGAGACUUGAAAGUCUCGGUUUCCAUUUCAUUCAUUUAUUUAGUCAUUUAUUAUUGUUGUCUUUAUUUCUUUAGUUAUUUAUUUUUUAUUCAUUCAUUUGGGCCUCGAAGUUAAAGUUGUAAAUUUAAUACAGGUGGAGCGAUACUCGAGCCAAAGGCUCGAAAUAUAGAUGAGGACAGGAGGAAGAUGGGUCAAAAACCCAACUAGACUAGGACAGGUUUUAUUGAUUUGGGCCCAAUGGCCUAAAUCUUUUACUUCCUCCCCUUUCCCUUUUUUUUAACGCUUGUUAGCCAUAUGUGUUUUGCGAACCUAGCUAAUUCAUUAGUUAAGUCGCUAAAAAACUGGUUUUUGCACAAACACUCAAAAAAUUGCUUUCUUUUUUCAAAAAUCAAUCUUUUUUUCUGAAUUUAAUCAAAUACGAUUCUCAAACAGUCCGAAUAACCGCAAGUUAGCGGACGUCUUAGGUGCCUAACACCUUCCUAAAACAUUAAUAGGAACCGCUUACUCAGAAUCUCUUAACUUAAAUGAUUUUUCUAUUUUGAAUCGUUUAAAGUAACUUUCUAAAGGUUUCUUAAUUCUUUUUCAAAAUUAAGUGGCGACUCUCUUUUCAAAAAUCCAAAUUUCUCCUCAAAACAACCCCAAUGACCGGUUACUGUUCAUCGGUGGGUUUUGUUCGUAUUUGUUUCCUGUUUUGGCAAUACAGUCCCCGAAAAACAUCAAAAUGUACCCGAAGUGCGUUAGAACAGGUUGAUGGGUUCGUUCUCAAGCUGAUUCUGGCAAUAUCUCACCAGAAUUUACUCGUUUCUUUUAGUUUCGAUCACUGGCAGCUCACUGGAGAUCAUCUUCGUCAGUUUGAGUUCUCAGUUGGACUUCAGGGCGUUUCAAACCAGUCUAUUUUCCUAGUUCAUUUUGACAUUGUACUCUUGAGGGUUUUCUACAUCGGGUUCGAGUGAUUCAUUUUUUUGGGGUUUUGACACCGAGCCGGAGUCACUCACUCUAAGGAUUUUUAUUGAUUUGUAAUCUGUCUGGGGUUGGACUUCUCUCCCUGAUUUAGAACACUCGUUGUGAGGUUCCUUGUUCGAGGAUUUCGAUUCUGGGUUUCUUUAUUAUCUAUGAAAACAAGUUCCAUCGAGGUCCGAUUCUAACCUUCCCCCUAUUUUAUUUCAUUAUUUGUAAUAUUUGAUGAUUGUUUGAUUUUUGUUGGUGGUGAAGGAUUGUUUAGUUGUUUAUUUGAUUGUGAAUUACGUACACAGUGAAAGAAAUCCUGUUUGAGAAUCAAAAUCGUUGAUUUAGGGGUUCGAGAUCAAAAAUUGAUAAAAAAAUAAAUUUGAAUUAGUUUUGAUUUGUGGUUGUUGGUUUAUUUCGAAGAAAAUAUUAAUGUUAAAUGUGAUAAAAUGAUGUUACUUUGAAAUGGAUAGGUCAAUGUGGGUUUGGGUAGGCAAAUUUAGGAUUAAGUUUUUCUUGUUGAAUGUUUGAAUGUACAAUUUGAGUGGAAUGGUUUGGUUUUAGUUUUUUUCUGCAUUUGAAAAAUGUAUUCAUUUGGUCGGGGAAUACCCUAAAAUAUCUGUAUAUAUUUAUUCUCCGAGGAAUGCUCCGAGGUAUCUUGUACCCGGAGGACAUUCGUGAUGAAGGCCCAAGGCUUCGGGUAAAGCACGGGAGCGUAGUUAGGAUUAGUAUAGGUUAGAUAAGAUUUAUUUUCCCAUUUUUCUAUUUGGAACUGUAUAAAUUGGACUGGACACUAUAUUUUUUAUUCGUUUGUUUGAUUGUUUUACGUGUUUUGUAUGGUUUUUUACAUUCGUAGUGGCCAAAUUAGUCGAUACGCUCCACCAAGCUACCGUGGUCGAACCACGGGAUCGAGGGGUGCCUAACACCUUCCCAUCAGUCAACAGAAUUCCUUAGACGGAAUCUCUGUUUGCAAACCAGUCUUUUUAAGUGUCAAAUUAUUUAGAAAAGGAUUUUUCAAAGGUGACUUGGCACAUCGGAUUAUGUCAAGUGGCGACUCUAAAUAAAAAAUGUAAAUAACCCUUUUUCGAAAUAAAUUUUCAAUCUUAUGUCACUUUAAUAAUAAAAAUCCUUUCAAAAUUUAGAAUUUAUUUCUUUUUGGUUAAAAAAGGGGUGUGACAGCUCUGGCGACUCUACUGGGGAUUUUUCAGAAUUCGAGCUUUUUUUUUUAGUUAUAUCGGCCUAGUUUGACAUAUGAGUGUAUAGACAUUGUUUGUGUUAUUGUUUGUAGUUAUUUUAUCAUUAUUGCAUGUUUACGUGCUUUUUGUUUACAGUUUUUUUCUUAUGUGUUACCGCUUUAUAUCUGGCAUCAUGUGCAUAACCCGAGUUAAUUCUUUUUGCAACAAAUCCAUAGUACACGUUGUGUAUACGACCACUAGUUGAGUCACCCUUAUCUUAGGAGGGGGAGCCGUCGACUGGUAUGGAGUGGGUGAAAAGCUAAAGCAGUCACUAUUGACCAUACGCUCCCCCUAACAGCCUUAUUAGUGAACCCCGGUGUAGGUCAGCCUUUAGGUCAUAUUUAUCUGCAUCAUAUUAAGAUCUAGCGGGACCUACUUGGUCAUUUAUAGGAGACUCACCUCUAAAGCAUCCCUACGUGCUAAAUGUUGUAUCUUUGAGGGUAACGGGGUCAUUUGACAGAUUGAUUUGGGCAAAAGCAUGUGCUAGAAUUAAAGAAAGUGUGUAGGCAAGGAAAAGUUUUUAAAAAAAAAAAAACAAAGGGAAAAAGAGAAAAAGGCGAAUCGAAAAAGAGUUUCGUAGUUUUUUUAAUGGCUUUUGUUCUUCACAAUCCAAAAAUUCAAAAAGAUUUUUACUUUUUGCACUCAUUUGUCAAAAUCAAAAACAUCAAAAAGAUUUUUAUUUUGUUUCCUUUAGCAAGUAUUCACAAUUUGAAAACUUCAAAAAAGAUUUUUCAUUCAUAGGAUUUUUUAUAAAAGAAAAAUGCAAAAAUUGUAGGAGUUUUGUACAUUUCAUGAAAAUACCAAAAAGAUUCUUCUUUCAUAAUUUUUUGUGUCAGUUUUAUGUAGAGUGUCAAAGUGAAAACCCUAAAAAAGAUUUUUAUUGUUGUAGUUUCGUCUCUCAAGUCAGGGUUCAAUCGGUUAUUUAAUCCUUAAUUGUCCUAUCUUGACGAACUACGCACCCCUGAUUCUUCUCUCUCGAGAAUGAGAUACGUAGGCAGCCUAUUGUUGGUUCGGGGAUAUUAUUUGAAAAAUCCCAAAAGAUUUUCUUCACUCUUAAUUUAGAGUAGAUAUCGUAUACAUGUUUUAAAAGAAAACUACAAAAAAAAUUUUAUUUAAUAGGUUCAAGUUUCAUCUUGGUAGGAAAUUCAAAUUGAAAACUCCAAAAGAUUUUCUUUGGUAAUCAUAGGUUUCACUUUGUAUAGGGAUGUUUAACCUGAAAAAUGCAAAAAGAUUUUUGUCAAUUCUUUUGACAAUUUGUUAUUUUCUUUUCUUCGUAAAGUUUCAAGAAAAAAAAAAAGAAAAGAGUUUGAUUGGUCAUUUUGGCAAGACUUCACAAACUACGCACACCUGAUUCUCCUCUCUCUGUAGUGAGAUACGUAGACGCCCUUCUUGGGUUCGGUGAUCUUUUCAAAAAAAAAAGGAGUUUUGAAAAAGUGUUGAACUCUAACACAUUUGUUGUUUUUUGUUGAGUCAGUUUAAGGUGGUUGGUUUGUGACAUUUUGGCUGGUCCUCCACAUUACACCAAAUUCAAAGGGUUAGUUGUGUCCAACAAAGAUAUAGAGAGUGACAUCAUGGACCAAACAAAGAGUCAUGAAAAUGAGAGUUUAAAGCAAAAUAUUGGGAGACUAAGGAAACAAAUGACAGAAAUGCAUCGAGCUUGGGCUAGUGGGUUGCCUCCUCCUCCAUUUUCUGCUAUUGAUCCUACAAAUACCUCGAGUUUUCCACUAAAAUUGUAAAGUCAGUGUCCUACUAUUGUUGAUGCACCACAACAUGACUCGAAAUUUAUUCCAAGCCAAAAGCAUCAUAAUACUUCCACCACUUUUCCUCGAGCUCCUCAUUAUAAGCCUGUUUCAUUCACAAUACCACAUGUUGUCUGUGAUCUUGUUACUCAAUCCCCUACCGAGGUUUAUACAUUGGCGAACUGCCCAACAGUUGUGCUUCCUCAUGCUUCUAAUGGACCCUUGUUCAAAACUCUUGGAGAUCAUCACUAUACUCCUGAUCCUAUUUUUAUGUUAAUUGGACCAUCAAAAUUUCUUAACAAGAAGCCUAGUGUGCCAGAAGAGCCAGAGAAAAUGGUUGGAAAAAUGAAAAGUGCAGAAAAUAUUGUGAAAAGUUCCUUAAAACUUAUGAGUGAAGAAGAUGUUUCAUACAAAAACUGGGGCAUAACUUUAAGCGCUAACCUUCCUCUAAGCCUUGAGAUAUCGAAAUGCGAGGAGCAAGAUGGACAAGAGGAAUCUGUGAAAUAUUUGGGAUAAUAUUGCAAUCAAUUAAAUAAAACUAGAGGAAAGAAGAAUGAGAAAGAUACAGCUGCUAUUGUAGUUGGAGAACGGGCACAUUCAAGAAGACGACGUCGGCAUUGCCGUCAAUCUAAGGGCCAAGUUCAUACCCAAGCUUUCUAUAAUCCUUCCCAAAAUCCAUUAUACUACAUUUCCCCACCUUUAUACCUACUAUACUACAUAUAGCCAUAUGUUCAACUCUCUUCUUACUCACAAUGGCGCGCAUCAACUCCUCAGAGUUACCCUCCGACUCCACAAAUCUAUCAAAUCCUUUCCAGGCUUGAUUUUGGAUCUAAUCCAAACAAGGAAAUAAGGCAGAAAUCGAGGGAUAGCUUCACACCAAUUGGAGAGCCGUAUGCCAGCUUAUUUUAGAUAUUGGUAUAGCGGGGCAUGAUCACUCCUUUCCUUGGGUAUAUUCCUAACCUGAAUUCAAGAAGUUUUGAUCCUAAUGUUCGAUGUGCAUAUCAUUCUGAUGUUCAGGGUCACAGUAUUGAAGUUUGUCGGGCUUUGAAAAGAGAAAUUGUAAAGAUGAUUCAAGAUAGAUCAAUUAUGGUGUAGAAUAAUGACAGUGAGGAAAGCUCUAGUCAUGUUGAUAUGCAAACCACUGGCUAAGAUGUCAGGCUGAGCAAUUAAGAAGUCACCCCUCUCCCUACUAGGAAGAGGUCUGAUGUUUGUUUUCUUUUUUAUUUUUCAAAUUAUUUCAGGAUUGUAGUUCGGGAUCUAUCUUGUUUUGUCCCUUUAUCGUUAUUUGCAAACCCUUCUAUUUGCAAACCCUUCUAUCUUUUAUUUUAACUAAAUAAAAUGUCUCUUUUCCUUUGUGUUUUAAAUGUGUGUUGUUUGUUUUCUUUACACAGUACAUUUUAUAUUGGUUCUGGUGAUAUGACAUGCUAGCGGAAUUUUCAGUCAGAUCUUAAAAUUCAGUGAAGCAUGAACAUGGAAUCAGAGGGUUAAAGUUAGAAAAGGGAGCACUUCAGAAAAUAAAUAGAGUGUUGAGGCAUUUGGUGAUCAAGGUGAAGCCUUCUUUAAAAAUUCAGGCGAUUAUUUUGGGAAUCAUGAGAAUAACUUAGUCAUCAGUAGAAAUACAUAUCUCAAUUAGGUCAAAAAUUGAAGUGUGAUCCUAUGUCAAAAGGAACAGAAAGAAAAUUAGCUCCACAAAUUCAUGAGUCAUUCAAUGUGAGGAAUGUACAGCAAAAGUGGAUUUGUAUGCUGAACAAGCGCAGAAGAAGUAGUAACGCACAGACUCAGUAAAGUUAGUGCUGCAAAAAUAUCACUAGUGAUCUUCAUCUUUCAUUUUCAUAUUGCAUAAUAUGUACUUGCAUUUUCAAAGAUUGAUAUGACGAAGGCAUUUCGUUCUGCUAUCCAAACACUGUGUCACCCUUUGUUUACCCUAUUUGAGCUUUAGUCCUAUUUUCUUUCAUACUCCUCUUUUGGAAUCAAGAUAGAGUCAGUAAAACUCAAAAGAAAAGUAUCGAGAAAAAAAAAAUGUGUCCCAAAGGAAAGAAAAGAGAAGAGUAUCGAAAAUAGGGUCAAAAAACUCCCAAAGAGAAAAAGAGAGAAGAAGAAACAAAAAUCAUAAUCAAGCAAAAGAACAAGCUGCCAGAACUACACGUGACCUGAUUCUCUUUCUUCGGGAGUGAGAUACGUAGGAUGCCCUACUCUGGGCUCGAUCUAACCAAAUAAUAAUUUAGAAUUGAUCAGUCAAAUAAAACUGGGGUAUGAGUUAAUCCUCAUUAUUUGAGUCGAUUCCAAAAGUUAUAAGUCCUACCCUACUUCAAGUUUCUUUUGAGCCUCAUGCCAUUUUUUUUCUCUAACCCUAUCCAAAAGCCAAGUUAUAACAAAAGAAAGACCUCCAGAUCAAUCUUUGAGAAUGUCGGGGCUAAGCAUGCAAUGCAUAUGAUGAUGCAUUUUGGAAGCUACUUGUCUUCCUCAGCAUAAGGAAUCAGGAAAGAAAUAAAAAUGAGAGAGUCUUAUCGGUGAAAAUCCUUAUGGGCAUCAUAAGACGACUGUGAGUUGAGAGAAAUGAAAAUAAGAGUCUCAAUGGUGAAAAACCCCUCACAGACACCAUAAGGCAAUGGUGAACUGAGGAAAAAAAUGAGAGAGGCUUGUUGGCGAAAACCCUUCAGGGCACCACUAGCCGAAUGAGGUCUUAAGUGCAAUUGACCUAAGGAGACAACUCAGUUUCAAGUCCAUUAACUCAACAACAAUUGGUAGAAAGUUUGGAUGAAAAGAUCAAUCUGCUUAAUCCAAAAUGCAUGACAUAAUCAUUAGAGUUGACUGCCCUUUUUAGAUGAAUUUUUCAUUUCUUUGUUUCAAAUGGGGACAUUCAUUGUCUUUUCUUUCUUUUUUUUUUUUGUGUUAUCUUUCUUGAGUCAGUUAUCCAAAUAAAAAAAAAUUGUCAUUCUUUUUUUUUCUUUCUUGUCUUUGAGUCAAGUCUGUGUCAAAACAAGUGAGAAAAGGUUUCAAAACUGACUACCUGCUUCUUUAAUUGCACAAAGCAAUACAAAAGCUAGCACAUGAAAGAGACAUGAUUGUGAGCCGAAAAAAGGGCAUGCAGAAAGUUUUAUCAACAGACAAAUCGAGGAACUCAUGGAGUAUCAGAUGUCAAAAGGUGCAUCUCAGAGGCAUGGCAGAAUAGAAACUCGAUGCUUGAGUCAAGGUCAGUUUCCUCGAUCUGGUUUGGGUCAAUGAUGCAAAAAGACAAGGGUAAAUAUAAGAUAUCUGAAACAAAGAUGAAAGGAACGAGUGCUGGAACAGAUAUCUGGGAAGCCAAGUACUGCAAGCCACCACUAAGUUUUAACAGACAAAUUUUCUUUGUUGAAACAGGGGCAAAUUCUCUCCACUUAAUUCAACUACCAUUGGAAAUGCACAUCCAUGGGAUUUUACUUUCUGUUUAGAAUCCUUCUGAAAACUAGAACUUUACGUUUUUUUCAGGACCUUCCUGAAAAAUGGGACUUUACUUUCUGUUCAGGACCCUCCUGAAAAAUGGGACUUUACUUUCUGUUCCGGACCCUCUUGGAAAAUGGGACUUUACUUUCUGUUCAGGACCCUCCUGAAAAAUGGGACUUUACUUUCUGUUCAGGACCCUUCUGAAAAAUAAGAAAUUACUUUCUGUUCAGGGCCCUCCUGAAAAAUGAGAUUUUACUUUAUAUUCAGGAUCCUCCUGAAAAAUUACAUUUUACCUUCUGUUCAAGACCCUCCUGAAAAAUGGAAAUUUAUUUUAUGUUCAGGACCCUCCUGAAAAAUGGGAUUUUACUUUUUGUUCAGGACCCUCCUGAAAAAUGGAUAAAAAUGGAAUUUUGCUUUCUUUUCAGGACCUUUCUGAAAAAUGGGAUUUUACUUUCUGUUCAGGACCCUCCUGAAAAAUGGGAUUUUACUUUCUAUUCAGGACUCUCCUGAAAUGGGAUUUUACUUUAUGUUCAGGACUCUCCUAAAAAUGGGAUUUUACUAUAUGUUCAGGACCCUCCUGAAAAAUGAGAUUUUACUUUAUGUUUAGGACCCUCCUGAAAAAUGGGGUUUUACUUUCUGUUUAGGACCCUCCUGAAAAAUGAGAUUUUACUUUCUGUUCAGGACCCUCCUGAAAAAUGGAAUUUUACUUUAUGUUCAGGACCCUCUUGAAAAAUGGUAUUUUACUUUCUGUUCAGGACCCUCCUAGAAAAUGGGACAUUACCUUCAAAAAUGAAAUGUUUCUUUAUCAUAAUCUUUGUUUGGGAUAAUUCUCGUUCUAGUUUUUAUUUUGAUUUUAGGAGCCCGCCUAAAGAACAGGGUAAUGAAACUAUAAGUCAGGUGCUUGCCUGAAGAACCGAGAAAUUACAAGUCAGGAACCCGUCCGAAGAAUAGGGUGAUGAAAUUGAAGGCCAGGAGCCCGCCUAAAUAACAGGGUGAUAAAAUUACAAGUCAGGAGCCCGCCUGAAGAACAGGGUGAAAAAAUUAAAAGUCAAGCAAUAAGGUAAAGCAAUUGAAAGCUAAACAACAAGUUGAAGAAAUUACAAAUCACGAGCUCACCUGAAGAAUAGGGUGAUGAAACUCAAGUCAAAAGUCCAAAAGAAGCUACAUAGAUAGGAUUUUUGUAAUUUCAUUUAUGUUUUAACUUGUAGUUUUCAUCUUGAUGUAAUGACAGAGCCGCGGACCAAAAUCUCAAUGGAACCUCACUCGAAACUCCAACUCGGUAUAGUCCACUUCUCUUCCAACCCUUUGAGAUACCUGUGACUUAAUUCCUUCAUAACUUGGAUAGGUAGGAUGUCCUAAGCCAAGACCCGGUUGCCUUUCUUCCUUCAGUUUCUUUCUUCAAAUAAUGAUUGGGUCAAAAUUUGGUCUCGUUGUCUACUUCUUUGUAUGAAAAUACUCUGUGUUACCUUCAAAGGGUACAUGAUGUAGACACCUAAUUUUGUCCCUCCCAAAGUCCAAUUUUUAGCUCACCUCGCUAUGUACCCUCUCUAAUAAGGAAAGGACACAUCACCCUCACCAUUAUCCCAUCACCUACCCUACCCUCUCACCCCCACUCACGUGACCCCCCUCCUCCUUAAGUUUCUUAACCUCAAAGAAAAAGAAAAAUAGACAGCUGUACAAAGUUGAUGCCAUUUUGCUCUCUUUUGGAUUUUAUAGGAACAAAAACAUACCAUGUAUUUCCCAGGUGGGACCCAAAAAAGAGGGACUCCCAUGAAAAAAGAGAGAAUAGAUACGCACAUCAGAGGAGAGCACAGGGGAUUGAGUCCAAAAACACACCCUUCUUAAAAAUCUCCAUCUCCAUUAAAACACCACUCUUGUCCUCUCCAGUUUCACCAUGGCAUAAAGAUUUUACUAUACUGACUAUCUUCCAUAUACACUAUGAAUCCUCAAAGAUAUGCGCACACACUUAAAACUAGUGAAUGAAACACCAAAAAAAGAGACGCCCAUUUUGUUCAUCGGAGAGAAAUUGAGAAAGAUGGAAGAAGGGUUUGAAAUCGAAAGAGAGAGUCGAAAACUAAAAGGAGUAUAGUUUGAAAUCUGUUGGUUGUCUUUAGAUCUCCAUUAUAAUUUCACCCCAACGAUCGGCUACUGUUCAUCGGUGGGUUUUGUUCGCAUUCGUUUACUAUUGCAGCAAUACAGUCCCUGAAAAACAUUAAAGCAUACCAAAAAACAUUGGAACAGGUUGAUGGGUUCGUUCUCAGGAUGAUUCUAGCAAUAUCUCGCCGGAAUUUACUCGUUUCUAUUAGUUUCGGUCACUGGCAGCUCACCGGAGCUCAUCUUCGUCAGUUUGAGUUCUCAGUUGGACUUCAGGGCAUUUUGAACCAGUCUAUUUUCCUAGUUCAUUUCGACAUUGUACUCUUGAGGGUUUUUUAUAUCAGGACCGAGUGAUUUUUUUGGGGGGUUUUGAUACCGAGCCGGAGUCAGUCACUCUAAGGAUUUUUAUUGAUUUGCAAUUUGCCUGGGGUUGGACUCCUCUCUCUGAUUUAGUACGCUCGUUGUGAGGUUCCUUAUUCGAGGAUUUCAAUUCUGGGUUUCUUUGUUAUCUACGAAAACAAGUUCCAUCGAGGUCCAAUUCUAACCUUCCCCCUAUUUUAUUUCAUUAUUUGUUAUAUUUGAUGAUUGUUUGAUUUUUAUUGUUGGUGAAGGAUUGUUUGGUUGUUUAUCUGAUUGUGAAUUACGUACACAGUGAAAGAAAUCCUUUUUGAGAAUCAAAAUCGUGGAUUUGGGGGGUCGAGAUAAAAAAUUGAUAAAAAAAUAAAUUUGAAUUAGUUUUGAUUUGUGGUUGUUGGUUUAUUUCAAAGAAAAUAUUAAUGUUAAACGUGAUAAAAUGAUGCUAUUUUGAAAUGGAUAGGUCAGUGUGGGUUUGGGUAGGAAAAUUUAGGAUUAAGUUUUUCUUGUCGAAUGUUUGAAUAUGGAAUUUGGGUGGAAUGGUUUGGUUUUAGUUUUUUUGCAUUUAAAAAAUGUAUUCAUUUGGCCGGGGAAUGCCUCAAAAUAUCUGUAUAUAAUUAUUCUCAGGGGAAUGUCCCGAGGUAUCUUGCACCCGGAGGAUGUUCGUGAUGAAGGCCCGAGGAGUUGGGUAAAGCACGAGAGCGUAGUUACGAUUAGUAUAGGUUAGAUAGGAUUUAUUUGCGCAUUUUUCUAUUUAGGACUGUAAAAAUUGGACAGGACACUAUAUUUUUGAUUCGUUUGUUUGAUUGUUUUACGUGUUUUGUGUAAUUUGUACAUUUGUAGUGUCAAAAUUAGUUGAUACGCUCCACCAAGCAACCGUGGUCGAACCACGGGAUCGAAGGGUGUCUAACACCUUCCUCUCAAUCAACAGAAAUCCUUAGCCGAAAUCUUUGUUCGCAAACCAGUCUUUUUAAGAGUCAAAUCAUUUCGAAAAGGAUUUUGCAAAGGUGACUAGGCACACCGUAUUAUGUCAAGUGGCGACUCUGAAUAAAAAAUGUAAAUAAUCCUUUUUCGAAACAAAUUUUCAAUCUUUUGUCACUUUAAUAAUAAAAAUCCUUUCGAAACUUAGAAUUUAUUUCUUUUUUAUUAAAAAAGGGGUGUGAUAGCAAGGCUCUACUAUUACAGGUGAUGCAGCUGUUUUUACCUCUUCUCUAUCAGAAAGUGACGUUGCUAAACUUUGGCAUAUGUGUCUGGGGCAUAUGAAUGAAAACGGGAUGACUGAACUAAGCGGGAGAGGACUUCGACUGCAUUUGUUUUUUUUAAGAUUCAGACAUCUGGAUUUGAAUACACAUCUGAAUGAUUAAGAUGUUGUCUCUAGAUCAGAAAACUGAAUGAUUAAGACUAUUUGUUUUUCAACAUUUGAAUGUGCAAAAAAAAAACUAUUUGUAUAUAUAAUAAAAUAAAAAAUACAAUUCAAAUAAAAAAUUAAUAAUAUAUUAGAAAAAUAUGUAAUUUAAUACAACAAAAUUAUUAUUUGAUUCAAAAAAAAUAUUUAUGUUUGUUAGUGAUAGUGGAGAUAGUUUAUAAUGAUAGUUGCGAUAGCAAUAAUUGAUGUUAGUGAUUAAUAAUGUUGGUGGUGAUAGUUGUGAUGUUUGGUAUUGUAAUGACUAUUAUGAUGGUGGUGAUUAAUAUUGGUGGUGAUGGUUGUGAUGUGACGUUGUUUAAUGUUAGUAGUUGAAGGUGUUGAUUGUGAUGACUAAAAAAUAAAGGCAUGAUGGUUUAUGAUGUGUUGGUGCUAGUUGAAGAUGUUAGUUGUGAUAGCGGAGAUGAUUGUUAGUCAAGAUAAAUUAUAGCGAUGAUGGUGGUAGAAGUGGUGGUAGAGGUGACGUUACUAGUGAUAAUGGUGGUGACAGCCGAAGAAUGUGUGGAGGUUGUUAUGUAUUAGUGGUAGUUAGCGGUGGUACUAGUUAUGAUGGAUGAGUGAUUGACUGGUAGUGGUUGAUGAUGGUGAUAUUGUUGAAGGCGGUGGUGGCGGUGAAUAUAAUUAGAAUAAUAAAGUAGUAGGUGUAAUAAUGGUUGACAAUAGUGGUUGGUAGCGAUAUUUGUUGUCGAUAGUGAUUGUGAUGGUAGAGGUGGGUAGUGGUGGUAGGUGGUGGUUGACAAUGGUGGCAGUGGUAGGGGUGGUUAGUAUGGUGAAUGAUUAUUAUGAAUAGAGUGACGGUGAAUAUUAUCCAACACUAGAAUACCUCUUCAGACCUAUUAAGACUUGGUUCUAGAUCUGAAUGAAUAAGACCUAUUCAAACCUAUUAAGAGCUAAAGUUAUAAUAAAAAACAAAUGCACUUAAUGGUCUGAAGUCUGAACCAUUCAAGUUCAGACCUCCAUUAAGUGCAGGCAAAUGAGGCCUUGAUGGGCAGAGUAUUACCAAAUUGGAGUUCUGUGAGCACUGCAUUUUCGAAAAGCAGAAAAGAGUCAGAUUCACUAAAGGUAUCCACUUAACUAAAGGCACACUUGAUUACAUUCAUUCUGAUCUCUGGGGUCCUGCUAGAAUACCUUCUAGAGGAGGCGCUAAUUACUUGUUGACUAUUAUUGAUGACUAUUCCAGAAAAGUUUAGGUGUUCUUUCCGAAGCAAAAGAAUGAUGUGUUGCCUACUUUCAAGGAGUGGAAGACUAUGAUUGAAAAGCAAACAGGAAGUAGGUAAAACACCUUCGGACCGAUAAUGGUUUAGAGGUUUGUUCUAAUGAAUUUAAUGCUUUGUGCAAGUCAGAAGGAAUUGUGAGGCACUUGACAGUUCGUCAUACUCCGCAGCGGAAUGGUGUGGCCGAACGAAUGAAUAGGACUAUAAUGUAGAAGGUGCGGUGUAUGCUCUCUAAUGUUGGUUUACCCAAGUCUUUUUGGGCUGAAGUUGCUUCCACAACUUGCCUUCUUAUUAACCACUCUUCCUCAGUCGCGAUUGAUAAAAAGACUCCACAAGAGGUAUGGUCUGGUAAUCCUGCUAGUUAUUCUGAUUUGAGGAUAUUUGUAUGUCCUACGUAUGCUCAUAUUGAUAAUGGAAAGUUGGAACCUAGAUUUUUCAAGUGCUUAUUUAUGGGUUAUAAGCCUGGUUUUAAAGGUUAUAACCUUUGGUGUCCAGAAAGCAGAAAGGUUAUAAUUAGCAGGGAUGUUGUGUUUGAUGAAACUGCCAUGCUUUGGGCUCCUUCCGAAUCUAGUAUUUCGCCCCCAGAUGAGCUUAGCGACAUGGAUUAGCGAAAUUCAAGCACCCAUGUUGAAUUGCAGAUUGGAGUAGAUUUUACACCAGUGCCUACUUCUUAGUCUAGCCCAGAGAUACAGAAUGAUACUAUUUCUUCUUCACAACCAGUGGUUCCACAAUAUUCUAUUGCUAAAGAUAGGCCUAGAAGAGAUAUUAGACCUUCUCAGAAGUAUGUUGAAGCUGAUUUGGUUGCUUAUGCAUUAAGUAUAGCAUAAGGUAUUGAUUCCGGUGAAGAUCCUUUUUCUUACUCAGAGGCAGUUAGUUGUGAUGAUUUCGGCCGAUGGAUGAUUUCUGUGCAAGAGGAGAUGGAAUCACUUCCAAAAAUCAACACAUGAAAUUUGGUGAUAUUGCCUAAAGAUAAAAAAGUUGUCCGUUGCAAGUGGAUAUUCAAAAAGAAAGAAGGAACAUCGGGAGUUGAAGAUGCUAGGUACAUAGCAAGACUAGUUGCUAAAGGUUACAACCAGGUUUAAGGUAUCGACUUCACAGAUGUGUUUUCUCCAGUUGCAAAGCAUAGUUUGAUUCGAGCAUUGCUAGAUAUUAUGGCUAUACAUAAUCUUAAGCUUGAGCAGUUAGAUGUCAAAACUGCAUUCUUACAUAGAGAACUUGAGGAGGACAUCUAUAUGCAGCAACCAAAGGGUUUUGUAGUCUUAAGAAAGGAGGACUAUGUAUGCUUGCUGAAAAAGUCUCUCUAUGGCUUAAAGCAGUCGCCCAGGCAAUGGUAUAAGAGAUUUGACUCUUUUAUGACCUCUCAUAUGUUUCAGAGGAGCAGCUAUGAUAGUUGUGUCUACUUUAAGGAGGUAAGUGAUGGUUCAUUCGUGUAUCUUCGCUUAUAUGUUGAUGAUAUGUUAAUUGCAGUAAAGGCUAUGAUAGAGAUAAUAAAAUUCAAAACCCAGCUCAGUAAGGAGUUUGAUAUGAAGGAUCUAGGAGCAGCAAAGAAGAUUCUUGGCAUAGAGAUUCUGAGGGAUAGAAAGAAUUAUAAGUUAUACUUGAGUCAGAAAGAAUAUAUUGAAAAAGUUUUUCAUAGGUUCAAUAUGCAAAAUGUCAAGCCUAUUAAUACUCCAUUGGUAGCUCACUUCAAACUCCCGACCACUUUAUCUCCAAAAACAUAUGAUGAGCAUGACUAUAUGUCUUGAGUUCUAUAAUUUGGUGUCGUUGGGUCUCUUAUGUAUGCAAUGGUGUGUUCACGACCAGAUUUAUCAUAUGUUGUCAGUGCAGUUACCAGAUACAUCGCAAAUUCUGGCAAAGAACAUUAGAAAAUAGUUCAGUGGAUAUUCAGAUACUUUCAUGGAGCUGCUAAUAUUUGUUUGCAAUUUUGUAAUGCCCUGAAUCUGGUACCCGAAAUGCUACACGGUGCUCAUGACCCCGAAGGACCACAAGCUAACUCAUGACUGAUAUUUGUACAUGAACACUAUAUAAUAUACUUUAUAAAUGUGAAAAUAAAAGCUGAAAGGCCAUAAGGUUCAAAACUGUAACAUGACUGAGAAAACAUAACAUCUGGAUGGGGUAUGAAAUACCCAAAACAACUGAAAUAAACUAUUGAACAUGAUAGUCUAAAAAGCCUUUAACUGACUGAACUGUCUAAAUAAAGAGUUGAUGGGACAUGUCCCCAACUAACUCCAACUACUGUAGUAAAUUAAUUAAUGAAAUAAUAAUGAAAUGGUUAUGUCCUCGAAGGAUGAGGACUCACUGCUAACUCUGACUACUGAGACUGGAAUGCUACUAAUGCUCUGGAGCUCAUGCUUUUGAACCUAUGGUAUAAAACACCAUAGCGCAAAUGCGUCAGUACAUUUGAAUGUACUGGUAUGCAUAUGAGGUAGGUUGAAUACAAAAGGGUUCACAUGCAUGAACUAUACCAACUGACUGUAUAACAUAAAUGUGAGAAUACAUGCAUGAAUAAGAGACUAUAACUGAAUUCGAGAUAACAUGAUUACUGAGUCCGAGUACUGAUAACCUGAGAUACUGAUAACUGUAAAUAUGGAAUAACUUAUACUGAGUGACUGUAUCUGACAGUCUAGGUUCUGAUGGAACUAGUUGAGUUUUGUACUAUUCUGAGUUGACUGUAUCUGACAGUCCUGAAUUUUAUAAAAUAUCUGAGUUCUAUUACUGAGACUGAGACUAUGGGAAGUAGUUAUCUAACAGACAUGCCCCGAAUAAUGCAUUAUAGCUGAGUUGGGGUCCAAUCUAUAACCCCAAUUAAAAGGGUGUCAAUACUGCGCCACUGGUAAGGACAAACUAUGGGUAACCCUCAUCUGACAGUGUCCCCAAAAAAGAACGGUAGAGCCUUCAUCUGACAGUGUUUAUCCACCCCAUCAACCCUCAUUUGACAAUGUUGAUGUCUCAACCUAUGUUGGUUACAUAGUUCUGGAACGCAAGGAUGACUUCGAAGAAUCACACCCUCAUCUGAAAAUGUGUGUUCCCAUCCUUGGGUUCACUCGGUGCUAAUUCCUACUCCCUUCUGAAUAGACAUUAAUCAUGGAUUACUGAACUGAACUGGACUGGACUGAAUUAACUGAGUUUCGUUAACUGGCGGAAUAGUACUGAGAUUACUAUAUUACUGAGCUUUCCUGAGUCACAUGACUGACUGAGUUCUAUGGAUCAUGGCUUGAAUGAGGAUAUCGUGAAAACAUGACACUGACUCUAGGCACACUGCUAUAUUUUUCGGGUACAAAUACCCCCAGAACUCGAUAGAAAGGAACUGACAAGACAUGACUUUCUUGAGUACAUGACCAACAUCAACAAUACAUAAUACAAUAAGUUAGGGAUUUCAUAAAGUACAUGGUUAUCAUAAGCUUGUACGUGAAUAGGCUUGCAUGUAAACAUGGCAUAACUUCUUAAGGCUAAUUCAUGAGCAAUCCAACAACAUUUACAAGACAUGUUAGUAGCAUGGAAGUCAUUUGAACUGUCAUGACCCGACCCGACCCGAGGCCCUAGCCGCGAAGGGCAUUCCAAACCAUCAAGGCCUGAGACACCCCUGUAACCCCAACCCACUAGUGAUAUUGCCCACUUUGGGUCCAGGCCCGCACGGCUUUAAAACGCGUCACUAGGGAGUAAGGCUUUCUUACUUAUAUACCCAGCAUCCCUCCUAUGUUUUGCCGAUGUGGGACUCCUUUCUAAGUUGGGGUGUUACAUACACCCUCUCUUAUGGACUCAACGUCCUCGCUGAGGUUUGCCCCACCGAAUGGGAUUUGCCUACACUCAGGACUGAGGUUUGCCCCGCCUUAUCGGGAUUCGCCUACACUCAGUUUGAACUCUGACCCACAUCAACAGGGCUGACACGGGAGUGCUCUAAUAUCAUUCUGUCAUGACCCGACCCGAGGCUCUAGCCGGGACGGGCAUCCCGAACCAUCAAGGCCCGAGACACCCCUAUAACCCCAACCCACUAGUGAUAUUGUCCGCUUUGGGUCCAGGCCCGCACGGCUUUAAAACGCGUCACUAGGGAGUAAGGCUUUCUUACUUAUAUACCCAGCAUCUCUCCUGUGUUUUGCCGAUGUAGGACUCCUUCCUAGGUUGGGGUGUUACAUGAACAUAAAGGCAAAACAUGAAUCCAUCACUUAAGUCACAAUUUAGCUAUAUUUCAUAAGUUCUAGUCUCUUAGGCAUUUUCUCAAACACCUUAAAUGCACAACUUAGGGCAUAGGCAUAAUACUCAAUUAACACAUCAUGAACCACUCAAUUUAUGGAUUUAAACUCAUAUAGUAAUGUAAUUUCAUAAAACACAUUAAAAUUUCAACUUGGGACUUAUACAACAACAACAACCACAUGAACAUAAUCAACACAUAACAUGAGUAUUAUAAUUCAUAGUUUAAAACUUGAUUUUGGGAUUCAUGGACGACAGAAAUCCAUGAAUGAACACUAUGCAUACCUUAGUUCUUGAUUUAUCGAAGAUUGAAGGAGAGACUCUUGAAUUUGAGUAUUGAAUUUGAAUUCUAAAUUGAAAACCCUAGCUUGUUCUUGAGAGAAACUUGAGAGAAACACUAUAUUUUGGGUGAAAAAUGGUUGAAUCACGUAUUAUUGGGUUUAAAAAGGGGUGAGAUUGACCCUUUUAACCCUUGGACGCGUCUUUUAAAUUUUAUAAAAAAAUUUCGACCUGGACUCCUGGCGCUAUCGUGAAGCUUCACUGGAAUUUGAUAAUUGGGAUUUGGGAGCCCUCCGCGAUGCAGUGAAAUUACGGAGUCUUACUAAAAAUUGAAAAAUGUCAUUUUGGCUUAUGGCGCGACGCGCCACUGGCUAAAAUGGCGGUGUUUUACGACUAAAACUUUAAAUCGCCAUAACUUCUUACCCGGUUGUCGGAUUUAGGCGAAUUUGGUAUCGAUGGAAAGCUUAUUUAAUUUCUCACGUGAUAAAAAGUGAAAAUAUUGAAAAAUAAUCUAUGUAUAAAAGUGGAUUCAUCUUUAAAACAAGUCUUUGAUAUUUUUUAAACGAAUUUAAGCUAGGUAAAAAUACGGGGUAUUACAAGUUUGGGUAAAAUUGAGAUGGAGUGAUCAGGUAUGUUGAUUCUGAUUUAGAAGGAGACCAUGAUAAAAGGAGAUUCCUUACAGGCUACGUUUUCUCCAUUGGUGGUUGUGCUAUCAGUUGGAAAGCUACUUUAUAGACUACGGUUGCUUUGUCAACUACUGAGGCAGAGUGCAUGGCUAUUACGAAGACUUUCAAGGAAGUCAUUUGAUUGAAGGGUCUAUUUGAUGAACUUAGCAAAGACUUACAGAUUACUAUGGUCUUUUGCGACAGUCAGAGUACUCGAAAGAUCAGAUGUUUCACGAGAGGACAAAGCACAUCGAUGUUCGGUAUCAUUUGUGCGUGAAAUUAUUGCUCGUGGUGAUAUUGUGGUAAGCAAGAUUAGUACCCAUGAUAAUCCUGCUAAUAUGAUGACCAAAACACUACCAAGUGACAAGUUUGAGCAUUGCUUGGACUUGGUUAGUGUUAGUUGUUAAGAUGUGCCCUUAGGGGCUUUUGUGGAAGAGGUGGAGAGUUUAUCUUGAAAUGGAUUUGAGUUCUGAAUUAGAAUUCGUAUCAAGGUCGAUAUUGUUAGAGUUGUGACCUGAAUUUUGUUGAUCCGGCCCAGAAAGUUUCGCGGUGCGAUCCGUGUUUGUGAUUUUCAAUGGGGUCUGUGGUAGUAGCGUAGGGAUUUGGUCGAUAGGCCCGUGGACCUUUAUGUUUUUUGGGCCUAGGACUUACUUGUAUACACAUGUUAUAUAAGUGCAUUUAGUGGGUUGUUUUGUGCUUCCAGAAACUACUCAUUCUCCCCAUUGUACUCCUCUCCAUUCAUUUUAGUGAAACAUCCUCUGCAUCUACCCGUGAUUUUUUUUGUAAGAAUUUUCAUGUAAAUCUGUGUGUUCUUGUUUUAUGGUUUGCUUUAUUUCUGCUCGAUUUCUAACAAUUUAUUUUCUUAUUUACAUACUUCUUAAGAAAAUAUUGUUGGCUUAAAAGAAUUUUAACUAUCAUUGAGUAUUUACUCGAAUUAUGCGUCAUCACUCUAUAAUGAGGUAUUUAUAAUUUUCAAAAACAAUUAUUAUUACGAAUAACAUGAAAAAAAAAAGAAUUAAUUUUUCUUAAAUAUCUAAAUGAUUAAAAUAAUUUGAUAUAAAACAUAAGGAGUUAAAAAGGGAAACUUUUGGUUGACACUAGAUACUCAGGCGCAUGGGUUUGGAACAGCACACGUGUGGCCAUCGACUAAACCAAGUCAGUAUCCAGUACGAUGCUGGUCCACCUCAAUUUUACAAACGAAAAAUAAAAAUAAAAAUAAAAAUUUACUAACAAAACCAAAAAAAAAAAAGUAAAUAAUUAAGGGAAAAUACAUAAAGAAGUAAUGAGAAUUAACAAAAAUUAAGCUGUGAAAUGAUUUUGAGACAUUUUAUUUUAUCCAUCAUAAAAGAGUAACUUCAGUUAUUUUAGCAAGUAGAUCUACUUCAACUAGUACUAUUCUUCAUUGGUCCUUAAGGUUCAAAUUCCGACACUAGAAUUUAUAGCCAUGUGCAAUUAUACGCAUCCAAAUGAUAAGACAAUGGAUUUUGGUCCCGUAAUCAAAUAUAUAUUCAGUGACUAGUGGUACGAUAAACUCUGAUUUUUGCGAAAAAUGUAAACACCCUUGGGACUAUUUCAUCACAUAAUAAGUAUGAGAUAGUACAAGAUUUUUAGUCACGGAGACUAAUAUUGACCUCUCAUAAACUGGAUUUUGACAGAUACCAAGUGUCCUUUAUUAUUAGACAUAAAUGAGACUAAAAUAUUUGUGAUUGUUCUUGUACCAAAAUUUUGAUAAAAUUGUACUCCCUCCGUUUCAGAAUAAGUUAAUUGUUGGGAUAUUUAUUAGUGUUUUAAAAUAAGUGAAUCAUUGAAUUUUUUUUCAAAUUUACCCUUAUGAUUUGACAACCAAUUAAUUUUUAAAAAGUUAUUACAAGUUCAACUUUUUUUUUUGGGGGAUAAAAAUGGAAAGUUGUGUUAAAUUUAUGUCUUUAAUGUUUUUUCCUCAAUUUUUAUGACAAAAUCCAACAAUUCAUUUAUUAUGAAACAAAGGGAGUACAUGUUAAAGUUCUAACUUCUAACGAGAAGAAAUGACACAGCAUUUUACUCUUUUACUAGCAAAACAGUUAAAAAAAAAAAAAAGUAGUUGGCAUAUAUUCUAUAGAUAGAAAGAGAUACACCUAUAGAAAGAUUAAUGGGCACUAACUUGAAACAUUUUGGCAAUGAGAGUUGCAUUAAAUAAAUCAAGAUUUUAUUAUGAAGACUGAAAACGUGUGAAAGAGAAAUACAAUGGGCCACUUUUGUAGCUGGAUAACUAUGACUGAAAAAUAUUUUUACGUGGAAUGGUUUAGUCUUUUAAUGAUUCAUACCUUAUUAAUGACAAAUUUUGCACUUACUGUUAUCCUCAUUGUUGCUUGUUGCUCUAGUAGAUAUUGAUGGUACUGUGAACAUGUUUUAGGAAAUCUACUCAAGGAGUCAAAUGUUUAGUUCCACAUCGGUGGGUUAAGAAGUAUUUACUUUUUUAAUAUGGUCUUGAGAACUUUUAAUUUGAGCUCAGUUUUUGAGAUUAAGUUAAACUCAAUAUUUAUUUUCUUAUCAUGAUAUUAGAGUUAUGUCUGCCCUAUUAUAUUUUUCAACAUUCCAAAUCUUCAAUGUGGACGUAUGGGGGUCUUGAUCAGUCUAAUGUUGGUGGGUUAAAGAGCUUAGUCUAUUUAUACGGUCUUUAAGUAGUUCUCACUCCAUCAGCUAACUGUUGAGGUUGACUUAGGUCCGAUUUCAUCUUUUCGUCAGCACAAUAUUCUGAUUUUAUUUUUUAUUUUUUAUUUUUUUUUGGUUUGGAAUUCUACUUUAAUUUUCCCUAAAGGACAUAAGGAGAUUGUUUUGUGCGUAAAAUGGUGAAUUUUGGCUGUCACACUGAUAACGAUAGUCCCACCGUCUUGUUAGGUCCACUUCCACAUUUAUUGUUCAGAUGCCUCUAUACUCUUCCACAUUUAGACACACAUUGCUAAUCCAAUUAUACUAUAAAUAUAAGUUCCAUUUAUUUCAUACUACAAUUUAAUGGAGAAUAAUCAAUUAGAAAAUAGACCCUUUAGAUUAAGGAGUUUGUUGUUAUAGUAAUGUGUUCAUAUACAUGAAUUUGUGUUUUUGCUAUUUAUGUAUCAAUUCUUGUCCCCUAAAGUCGAGAAAUCAUUUGGAUUUGCAUAUUCUAGACAUGUAAUAGUGUUAUUGAAAUAAAUGCUGUCUUUUAAGUAUACACUAUAUUGUGUGUAUGACAUUUAUACAAUCUUAAGCAAGUCUAAAACAUAUAUAUUGAGCAAACUCUCAUGGAAAACAAGAUCGACGUAAUACCUCCAAUCAUAUUUUGAAAUUGUUUUCUAUGUCACUUUUCUAUUUCAGAAAGUAUCUAAGCGCUCAAACCUUACUCUAGAUGAUGUGGAGUUCAGAAGAAGAAAUUGUUCUUAGGGACUUUCAAUAUGAUAUGUGCACGUAUAUGUAAUGUUCUUCCAUCAAGAUUGGUUUAAAGUGAUUGUCAUAGUGUUUAAAAAAUAUGGACCAUUUCCAAACAUUCUUAUCUUUAAUGUAUUAACCAAAUGUUCAAGUUAAUAAGGAUAUUCUCUAAUGCAGUUUUAGAUAUUAAUGUUAACAUAUAUGUUACUUCCAUUACAUAUGUAUUUAUUAAGGCGUGGGAGAUUUGACUCCAUUGAUGUGGACUUUGAUGUUUGUCUUUUUGCUAGCCCUUUGGGUCACAAUUGAAAACAAAGAUGUUAAAAAGAUGUCUUGUUGUGACUUGCUAGAGUGUGACUUUUACAAUAGUGAGUUUGAAAAUUUUGCAAAAAUUAUGAGCAGUGAGUGACAAGCCUUAACCUUAUAAACCUUUUCAAGGGACCACAUAUAUAGGAUUGGCAAAGCCAAGUCUUUUUGCUUCAAAUGCCCAUACUUUUCAUCAUCACUCUUUGCUGGUUAAAAGUCAAUGCAAUAUAAUGUGGAAGAAAAGGUACAAAACAACCAUUCUUUAUAGUUUUGUAAUCAAUCAAUCCCAAAGCAUACUUCCAAUUCUUUAUAAAAGACUAGGUCAACAAUUCUCCAAAAUUAAUUGGAGCUGAUCAAUUUCACUUCUAAAAUUAGCUUAUGAGGUGAAGAGUUGCGGAUCAUUUAUAAGUUAUCCGUACUCGCCCUUGCUUAACUUGAACUCAACAGUGAGCUCACAAGAUAAUGAAAGUCUAUGAGUCACUUAUUAAGUUCAUGUCCACAAAGAUGAACCCAUGAUUUUAAUUUAAUAGGUUUAGUCUUUAAAUUUCUUGAUAUCGAACUCACUAUUCACCCAACUAUAUAUGCUAAUGUCGGUCCAUACCUCCGUUUUUGCCUAACUAUAGGGAUAAUGUUGAAAAUGAAAGCAAAAGGACUAUAAAGUAAGAUUCGGGUCGUUUGGUACAUAAAUUAAAUUAUCUUGAAAUUAUAGUUUAAAGAUUAUAAUUUUUGGACUAAUUUAUAUCAUAUGAGAAGUGAUAUAAAAUAAUAUCAUGUUGGACAAAGACAAAUUUAGGAUUUAAAGUUUGUGGGUUCCAUACAUUAGGCAAAAUAAAAGCACAUAUAGCAACUUGAGAGGAUUCAAACCCACAAUCAUGUAUGCAAAGCUUUAACAAGUUUCUCUGCUGCCAUUAAGCCAGUAACACUCGAUUUGUGGUUCUUUACUUAAUAAUUUUUAUAUAUUUACUAGAUUUCUCAAUAUAAAUACAAGAUCCGUAAGAAAUUUACUGGGUUUUGAGGCACCCCGCCCAACCGUUUGAAUCUUCUCCUGAUGUUGGAUGGGAUAAAACGAGAUAUUUCAAGAUUAAAUUUGAUAUUACAUAUAUAUCAGGUUUGAUUGAUAAUAUAAAUAAAUCUCGCAUGACAUAAAUUUAAUAUCAAAUUAAAUUAUAAAAUAUCCAACUUUAUUUCACAUACCAAACAACCACUAAGAGUACAAAAGCUAGUGGGAUAAAUCAUACAAAAAGGGGGUUGGUUUUGGGCGGGGCAAGAAGCCAGCAAAGGGCAUGUGCAAAUGAGAUUUAGAGUCUGGGACCAGAUGACUUAAAAAGUAUACCCUACUCCAGCACCCCCCACCCCCACCCCAAAUAGAACCAACUCAACUAAAUGGUUAUUUUUGCAAUCCUAUAACUUUAGCCUUAUAUGAACGACCUUUUUGCCCUAAUAAUAAUGACAUGAUUUUUGGGCCAUACACCUCUCUAGCCAUCUCACUGGUGUGAAUGAUUUACUGUUUCUUCCUAGGCCGGCACACUGUGUGAUGCUUCUUUAUUAUUAUGUCCUCCCCUACACCAUUUGUAAUUUUAUCCUAAUAUACUAUUGUUCUUUUUUCUUUUAGUGACGGUGGUGUUUGAAGCUAAAUAAUUUCAUUAUCUUCACAAGAUAGAAAUAAGAUCACAUACGCAUGAGUACUCUUUUCAAACUUUAUUUAUAAAAGUACGCCGAAUAUAUACAUGUUAUUAUUAUUGCUAUUGUUGAUGGUGUUUGAAUCUGUUCACUCGUAACUCAUGGUAGAAUAGGGUGUAGUAUGUUAUUGUAUUUUGUGUAAUUUAAGUUGUAAUAUAUUUUAUCUUACAUAUAGACAUAGAUACCCUGACAAGACUGUGUUAUGUAGUCUUAUUAAGUGAAGAUUGCUCAGUUGGACAUCCUUCAUUAGAAAAUUAUUCGAAGUAUAUGAAAACUUUUAUUAAUGUGUACAUAGAAAGAGUGGAUUCAGAAUUUCAAGAGUAUACAUGCACUAUUAUGAGAAGGCAAAUCUAGAAUUUAUAUUUUGCUGGAUUUAAUAUUUAAAUUCUUACUAUUACCUCAUACUUUUAAAAUUAUAAGUCCAAAAUUAAUUAACUAUGAUCCUCCAUAAGCUAUGUCAAUACUUAGUUUUUUGAGUUAGUUUUGUAGGCUAACAUUAGAAGUCUCCUCUCAACGAUUGUGUACUAAGUUUUGUAUGUAAAACUUAAUUUGUAACUUUUCGGAGAGUAAAUUUUAUGGGUGGUCAUUUAACUUUGUAUUUUUUACUUAAAAGUCACUUUUCUUUAUUUUGUUACACAAAAGUCAAUUAAUAUUGUCUCAUCUUUCACAAAAGUCAUUUUGAUAUAAUUUAGUUAAAAUCCUGCCUAAAAUGUGAGAUGAAAUUAAGAAAAAAAAAUCUCUUGUGUUUGAGAAUAGGUUCAAAAUGACCCCUCAAAUAUACGUUUAAGAAGUUUUGGUGCUUCAGGCUUAUUAUAUGUGAGUAUAUUUUAUUUUCUUCAAAUACUUACCAAACUCUAAUUGUUAAAUUUUAUAAAAUUCUGGAAUUUUUUUUUUAAUAUUGAGUCACAUCUAGAGGUAUUAUCUGCAAGAAAAAUUUAUUUAUUAUAGGAUUCGGUGUAGCUUUCUAGAUUAAUUUAUUUAUUUGUAGAAUAAUUUCAUAGACUCCUUCACAAAUUUCAUUUUGAAAGUUGAUCUCUUAUGUUACAUAUGAUACCACACUUACUUUGAUUAUUUUGAUUUCUUUAUAACAAUUCUUUUAAUCUAUUUAUCACUAUACAAAACAAAAUUCAUAGAAAUUAUUACAAAAUCAUUUGAAAAUCAUACCUACUUAUUUAAUAGUGUACUGAUAAUAUGAACAAAAUAAUAUGUAGCCAAAACAAAAUGUCUAUAAAUUAAUCAAACAAAAUAGUAUAUCAGUACAAGGGUAAGUAAAUGAAAAUAUAAUUAUUGCACAUUUAUGAUAAAUAGAUUUUAAUUUAUUUAUUUUUAUUUUACCUUUUUUCAAUAUUGUUAAUUUAGUAGGUAGAGUUUGUCAAACAUAUGAAAAUAAAACGAUUCAUUUUUAUUAGCAAUAUAGUGGAUCAAAAUUGCUUGAAAGUAUAUGUGAGGGGCCAUUUUGAAUCUACCUUUAAACAUAAGAGAUCGUUUUCAUUUCAUCUCAAAUUUUAAGUAGUGUUUUAACCAAAUUAUAUCAAAAUGACUUUUGUGAAAGAUGAGGCAAAAUUAAAUGAUUUUUGUGUAACAAAACAAAGAAAAGUGAAUUUUGGGUAAAAAAAAAAUACAAAAUCGGAUGACCACCCAUAAAAUUUACUAACUUUUUGAACAUCAAUGAUCAAUGGAGAUAAUGUUUAAAAAGUAAGUCCAAAACUAAUUACUUAUUUUUACAAUUUGACUAAUUUUACAUAUGUGUAUCUUACUUCGUGUUACAACCCGAAAAUGUUGGGACUAGUUGAGCCAUAUGUUACAUCGUCCAUUGCUUCAAAUUUUAAUAAUAGUCAUUCGAUUUAAUUGCAUAACGGAUAUAGUAGAAUCAGUGGCGGAGCUAGACUUCUGGUUAAGGGUGUUCAUAUUUUUCUUUAGUUCAAAAACUGUUUAAAAAACAAAGAAAAUAAAGCACUGCUACACUUGCCAAGGUUCGAACCCGAGUUGUUGAUGCAGAAAUGCAUACUCUUGACUACUGGAGUGUGCUUCUCUAGCUUGUCAAGGGUGUGCAACAACAUAUAUAUAAUCAUAAAUAUCUAUAUUUAACCUGUAUACUCAAAAAAAAUUUCCAACGACGGGUGUUCAUCUGACCAGCCUUCGUUGGCUGUGGCUCCGCCACUGAGUAGAAUAGAGAUAUUAGUCUGACACUAGAAAUUUUGAAAAAAUAAACCAAAGAUUCUAGAAAAAGAAAGAAAAAAAAUAACAAGACAAGCGUGGAACUUGAACCAUCAAUUUUUACUUGUAGAGGUGCACCCAAUAAUAAAAUAUUAUUGCAUCAUAAGACACUUUGAGCUUGGCUGCACACAUAUAUACCAUAGUAAUUUGUUAAAAAUAACACUAAUGCUCUAUGAAGAGAAACUUGAGCUCACAAAAUCCAUACCCCUCUACCUGGAUUAGCAUUUGUGUAUAAGUUUAAAAUUACUUUUAGACGUACAUAUUAAAACUUGAAUAUCUUAGCGAAAUUUUUGAUCUCUCCAAGUAGCUGAUUCACAGUUCUUACAUCUCAACGCGAUCCAUCAAAUACUUGAUACUUUCGAUUAACAUGUAGUAACUCUAUCUACCAAGUCAAUGAAUUAAUUAUGAGAAAAACUUUCUCUGGCUUUUGGAUUUUGCAUCAAGGCCAAGAUUGUAAAUUUCUGUGUUAUAUAGCUCAAUAAUCAUAGGUGCUAUUAUUACCUAAUGAUAUCUUGUAACUUGCUGUGUUAUAAGUAUAGCUCAAUAAUCAUAGGUACUGUUAUCAUUACCUAAUGAUGUGCCACUGGCACUAACUUUUCAAAAAUUGGCAUUUAUAGUUUGUUGAACUGGAGAUUAGCACUUAAAAGUCAAGAAGACUAUUCAGUGGGGGAGACACCUAAAAAGAUUUUGUCUAUGAAUGUGUGUGAAUCUUUUUUUUUUAAUUUUGUAAAAUAAAACAUUAUUAAUAAUCAGUAGGCAAAAUACUAAGGUAAUGAAAUCACCUGAAUAAACAUUGCUUAUUGUCACAAUUCAAGCCAAUAACACGUAUUGCCUGUUAAUUUGGGCCUAAUCUAUAUGAAUUUGAUUUUCGAGCUAUGUUACAUCAAACCGCAAAAGCGUAUGUAUCACGUGGAUUUGAGUUAUACUUUAUAAAACUUUUUACUUUUCUCUCUCACAUUUCGAUAUGAAAUUUACUUAAAGAAUCAUGUGCAUAUAAUCUUUAUAAGUUUAUCAACCUAAAAACUAAUUUAUCGUUUCUAUUUGACUUGCCCUCGUCACAAGUGUGACACGUAAGCAACCGCGGACUAAGAAAAGCUUGUAAACUCUGCAAAGACCAAGCCUCCAAUUACGACCAAUAUUUAGAAAAACAAAUGAAGUCAAAAAAUUUAACUUUUUAAAAUGUUAUUCAUAUGUCAGCAGCAAGUGAUCCAAGAAAAAAGGUUCAAUUGACUCUUCAUUAAAAAGGUCAUAAAUAGCAGAACUGCCUGAACUUUAUGAAGCUGCUACUGACUCAUUGCCUUGUUUUUUGUUGCUCAAAAUCAUUUUAAUGUUGAGUAUUUUGGCAGAGUUAAAUAGAUUUGCAGACAAUUCUGAACUUCAAUCCCAAUGAUAAAAGGCUUUUUGACACAAGUAUUCUCACUAAUAUUGUCAAUACACAUAAUAUGAACAGAAUCCCAUAUUAUCCACAAGUUUGGAAUUUUCUUGCAUGUGAUGACUUACUAGGACUACUGUUUUCUCUUCCUUUAUAAAAGAUAGUAUUAUAAUGAUUCAUUCAAUACAAGAAUGAAAUCUUAAUUUAAAGAUCCUUUGAGCCCAUCCUAUGUAUAAGUAUCCUUCAUGGUUAUAUAGACAAGGGAAUGAAUUAUACCAUUUUAUAAUUGGAAUAGGUAGUUUCAUUGUUUUAGCAUGAAUAGUGGAAUAAAAUAAUAGUAAAAUUUAUUUAUAAUCAAACACAAAAUAAAAUAACUGAUCCUUAGUCUUUUCGAAUGAUUUUGUUUAUGUACUUAUUGCUAUAACGUUAUAACUGUAUCCAUGCUUUAAUUUUAUCAUCGUUCGGAUAAAUCUAACUCCUUCUCGUGUUCCCAAAUUCAAUAAGUAUCCAUUUUUAACAUGGAUAUGGUAAAUACUGAGUGUAAUGAGUAACUUAAUUAUGUGUGAAAUGGCAAAAACAGUGAGGUUUCUGUUCCAAAAUAAAGAUAAAUGACUUUAUUUUUUAAAUGACAAAGAGUAAAUCUCUUGUUACAAAAUUAAAAAAAAUGGACUUUCUCACUCAAUUUCUUUUAAUUAAGUGAUCUAAUGAGUAAUCAGUAAUGUAAAUUCUAACUAUCACUACUUCAAAAAAGAAAGUAAAGAGUGAAAAAAAUAUAAAAAGAGAGUAAAGAGUGAAAAAAAUAUGGAGCGUGGUAAAUAAGAAGCACAAUAUGCAAGGGAAUAGUUGGCAUUUGCUGGCUGGCUGUUGCACAAAUAUUGUUGAACAUAUGAUUUUCUUGCAAUCACCAUGUUGUACCAAUAUCACUUACAAGUGGCCAAAAACUCAUUCUCUCUCUCCCCCACCCCCCACUUACCUACCCUCACCCCAUGACUAAAGCCAACUGGCAUGUUUUGAUCCUUCACAAAUUUGAGAAAAAAAAUAAAGCCGAAGGAUAAAGCAAAGGACAAAGCUAGUCUACUAUUGAGUGUGCUAAGUUUGGUUUUUAUACCUUACACUCUUCUUCUUUUUCUCUUUCCCCACUUAUAAAUACACAACCAUAAUCAAUCUUUACUUUAUUAUAAAUCAACCCUUUAUUUUUCUUCCUCAAAAAAAAAAAAAAAACAAAGUACAUUUUUUUAUUUUCAAGAAUGAAUAUAUCAGGUUCUGAAUGUAGCAGUGGGUGUGAAUCUGGAUGGACAAUGUACUUAGAUCAACUUUCAAAUUCUGCAGAUCAAUACAACACAAGAGAUUUUAGUAAUAAUAAUAAUAAUCAAUAUGGGAUAUAUAAAACACAGUAUGUUGUUGAUGAAGAUCAAGAAGAUGAAGAUAUGUCUAUGGUUUCUGAUGCAUCAUCUGGUCCACCACAUUUUCAUGAAGAACAAUAUUGUUUUGAUGAAAAUGGAUAUAUUUUUUAUCCUUCUGCAGCUUCUGAAAGCACAAAAAAGGCAAAUGAAAAGAGGAAGAUAAAAGAACAAAAGGUGAAAAAACAGAAUGUUUAUCUUGAUGACACUGCCAGUUCUCCAUUCUCUAACCUCCCUAAGGUAAUUAAGUUCAAUAUAACAACAUUUUUAUUAAUCUUAUAUUAUGGUUUAUUUUAUUUUAUUUUUUGACAUAUAACCUUUUUGCAUACUUUUAUUUCUUUUUCCAGGAUGAUAGAUUUUAUAAUGAUAGAACUUCCAUGGAGAUGGUAACUGGCUUCUCUGGAACACAUUCAAAGGUUAUCUUUUUUUCUUUGCCUUGUUGAAUUAUUUCUUCUUAUAUCAUUUUAUUAAUUCUAUUGGAAAUAAAUAUUUUUACCUUCAUCACAUAGGGGUAACGUGGUGUACGCACUACCCUCUCCGAAUCUCACAGCCACAUGUAGGAUGGAUUAUAGUGGAUAUAUUAUUGUUGUUAUAUCUUUUUUAUUAACAAUGAAAAUGUGUUAUUCCAUUCAGGGUAAAUCUGCUUUAGGGAAGCACUUUGGAUUUUUGAAAACAUCUGUGAGUGGAAGAAGUUCAUCAGAAAAAUCUAGUAAGUAAAAAGAACCUAGUUUAUUAAGUACUUUUUAACUGCUGCCAAAAUCUAAAGUCCAUUUAGGAAAUAAAGUAAAAGAGCCUAGUUUGUUCUUGAUACUACAAUAACAAUAACGACUGCGCCUCAAUCUCAAACAAAUUAUAACUAAUGCUACAAAUUCUUCUUAUUAUCCAUAUAGCUCUAUUUAAACUCGUUCGAUUCAACAGUAUUAAAAAAUGUUAGAUAAAACUUCUUCACGUUUUUUACUAGCAUAUAACUCUCUAACAAGACUAAACAUUCUAACAUGACUAAACUUAAUUCCAACUAAUUAAUAUAUUACCUAUAUGUAUCUUUUUCUUUUUUUUUAGUGUCUUAUUUUUUCAAAUUUUAAUUAAUUUUUGGUAUUGUGUUUUUGGCAGGUGGUUUGAAGGGAAGGAAGAGGCAAUAAAAAUUGGCAAAGAGUACAUUUUUCUGUGUCAGCUGCAGUUGAAGAGAGUAAAGAAGAUUGAUGUUUGAGGGUGAAUAGGGUGGGCAUGAAAAGGGAAAAAAGAAAAAAAAAAUAGAUUUGUGAGGAUCUUGUUUUUAUCCUCUUUUAUUUUAUUUUUUUUUAAUCUUCUUCCUAGUUAUUAUUCCUGUCUAUGUAGUGGGAAACAACAGAAAAACAUAAAUGUGAAAAAAAAAAAAAAACUUUCUUUAUUUUAUUAUCUUUCCCACACCAAACAGAAGUCAGGAGAAAAAAAUAUUCACAACAAUAAUAUAUUUAGUCCAUAAUCUUCACUUCUUUACAGCUUUAUAGUAUCUCAUAUUCUUUUUUCUUCAACCAACUAAAAUUAAUAAUUUAUCAAAUCUGUACAAACUAAAAAAGAAAGAAAUGGAAACUAUACAUAAUAUUCUUUUAUUAUUGUUGUAACCAUGAGAAUUGCCAGCCUAGCUGAGGGAAUUUGAUGAACUGAUUUGAGUUUGGUUGAAAUUGAUAAUGUAAUAUACUCAAAACUAGAACAAGACGUUGUGAAUAAUGAAAUAUUGAUCCCUUUCAAUUUUCAUUUUCUACCAAAAGGGACCAAAAAUGCACAACCCCACCUAGUUCUAUGACAGCUAUCUACUAAAAAUAUGAUCCAUGUAUAAUUUUGGGGGGUGCAAUUAUUGGUUUUUCUACCAAUAAGGGUUGUAUGUAUGGCAGGGUGGUGUAACUAAUUAGUAUUUCGUUAUUUUGAUUAAAGGUUUCAGGUUUGAGCUCUGAUAAAUAUGAGAAAUCUAGUGUGAAAUUUUUUCGACUUAAAUUUAAAUUUAAUUAAAUUUCAAUAUUAAUAUCGGACACUAAAUGAAAAAUAAAACAUAAUUAUUGGUUUCAGGAUUGCGGCGAAUAAUAAUUAGUAGUCCUUCAUUCUAGAGGUCCCAAGUUCUAGCUUUGCUGAAUAUGAAAACCCCUUUGUUAGAAGCAAUUUAUUCCUAGUUUAAAAAAUUUUAAUAUGAAUUUGAAUUCAAUCAAAUUUCAAUAUUGAUCUCGAACAUUUAAAUAAAAAAUCAAAAAUAAUUUUUGUUUUUUAUAGCCUCCCUAUUAUCUUUUAUUAAUAUUGAAGGUCUUAUAAUUCUAAGAAUUUGCCACCCAUAUCUUGGAGCAUGACAUAGAUUUCAAGAAAAAGACAAGACCUCCAGCUAUGUGUCCUGAGUGCUGACAAUUUCCCUUCUUGGUACACUAAUAAUUUUCACAAAGUUUGAAAUUAUUGAAAAUGGGUUAUGUGGAUUUGGUACUCAAAUUAGAAUGAACUAAUGGUAAGGUAAAUUAUUUCUUUACCCAUUUUUUUUUUCAAUAAUUAUUGAUUUUAUUGUUGAAGGGGUUGAUAUUCUCCAUGUGUACCAUCUUGAUCCAACAAAAUGUACUUGUUACACAAUUGCCACAUGUUGUUACAAACAAAAAACCACUAAAGAGAAAGACCAGAUGUCACCUUUCAUAUCUAGGUAGAUACUCUUGCAGGUUCCAUGUGAUUGAAGGUGCUCUUUGUCUCUGCUUAUUUAUUUGUGUGGCUUAGGUUUUUUAAAAAUGCCACGUGCCUUCCACGUAACGUAUAAUGUUUGAUUAUAUUUAUUUCAAGAUUUUUAAAAUCUUCUUAAAAUCAAAUCUAGUUUAUUUAAAAUUUUUAAACUAAUAAAAAAAAUUAUUAGUUUUCAUUAAUUUUGAUGACUUCUAAUAACAAAAGUUUUUAUCAUAAAUAUAUUUAAUUAGUUUUAAACUCUUAAAUAUUAAAAAAAAUAAUAAAAAGACGAUUUUGAGACUUUUAAUGAAAGACAAAAAAUUUAAACAACAUUUCUAAGGCUCUUUAUAUUUUUAAUAUAUUAUAGAGUAUAAAUAUAGAUAUAAAUUAUAGAUAUAGAUUUAGGACUUUUAACAUAGUUCUAAUAAGGAAAACUUUAAUAAUUAUUUUUGGUUAAUUUUAAAACCCUAAAUAUUACAUAAAUGAUGAAAUAAUAAUUAGAGGGAUAAGUAAAAAAAUGAUUUGAUCUAUUACGGAGUGUUUUAAUGAAGGGCAAAAGCUCGAAUCAAUUUUUGUAAGGAUCUUCAUAUUUUUAAUAAAUUAGAUAUUAGAGAUUGUAAUAAAAAUUAGAGAUUAUAGAUUAAAGGAGUAGAUAGGUGACAUAUAAAUAAAAUUGUUCUUCAAAAAGUAUACAUUUUUUUAAGGAAAGACGUAUGGUAUCUAUUAAAUGAUUUACUUUUUUCGUACAAAGACUAAUUCAGAAAUGCAAGGAGUAACUGGUAAAGUUGUUGUCAUGUGACCAGGAGGUUACGAGCCUUGGAAAUAGCCUCUGGCAGAAAUGCAAGGUAAGGCUGCGUACGAUACAUCCUUGUGGUGGGGCCCUUCUCCGAACACCACGCAUAGCAAUAGCUUUAGUGUACCGGACUGUCCUAUACAAAGACUAAUUCAAAAGAAGCCUAAAUUAGGUACAUAACUCAAAUAAGGAAAAGUUUAAUAACUAAAUUUUAAUGAACUUUUUAGUUUUAAAAAUGAUUAGAAAAUAGCAAAAAAGACGAUUUUAUCUAUUGCGAUGUAAUUUAAUGAAGGGUAAAAAGUUCAAAUCACUUUUCUAAAGGUCUUCACACUUUUAAUAUAUUAUUAUAGAAUAGAUAUAGAUUAUAGAUACAUAGAUCAUUUAUUAAGUUAAUUAAUAUACCUUAAUUAAUGUAUGCUUCAUAAUACCUUCUUUUAGUAAUACUAAUUUAGUAUACGUAUUUUGUAUGUGUGUUUCUCAUCAAUCAAUAAACUAUAUAUGAAAUUAAAUUAUAAAGUAGAAGCUAACAUUAGAAUAAAUUUUAUAUCCAUUUACAUUUAUAUAGCUGGUACAAAGAAAAAGAUAAUCAUCAGAGUCUAUUACUAAAAAUAAUUUCGAGUUUGCCAGAUCACAUACUUUAUUCACAAUUGAAAUAGUUGCAUAUAAUUAAAUUUUACAAGAGAAUUCAUAUAGAAUUAAAAUGACUAAUUAAUUUUUUGUGACAGAAUAUUAGUUCAUUAAUUGCAUAUGGAUCAUUAUAAUCAAAAAAUCACAAAAUACUUAUCUGUAAGUAUUUAUCUAUCAAAAAUACACAAUUAUUAUUUGAAACCUCAAAUACAUAUUAAAAUUACAAAAGAAAAUUUCUCAAUAAACAAUUGUCUAUCAAAAUAUAUGAUAAUUUAUUUUUGUAAACAUAAAAGUAUAUUAAAAUUUUAGAAAACUGACCUCAAUUCACCAUUAAAUUUUUCCCUUCAAUCAAAGUUAUUAUCAAUGUUUCACACGCACAAAAAAAAAAACUUCCCUCGUAGUAAUUAACUAUCAAAAACAUAUAAUAAUUUAGUAUUAUGAACGUUUAAUUUUUCUUCCAAAAUAAUUUAUUUAUUUGCUAUAAUAUGAAUGAAGAGAAUAACAUUAUGUAAUAAAAAAGUUAGAGAACAUUAAGAGACGUUGAGUUUGUCUUUCCUCCAAUAAAUCUUCUUCCGAUGAUUGUCUAGGCUAAAUUAGAUAAUUAACUUGUUUUAAUAAAUACUAAUACAUUAAAUACUUUAUUUUUUUUAAAAUAAAACUAUAAUAUAAAACAAAUUGAAAAAAAUUGUUGCACUUAUAAAUUUUUGAGAACGAUCAUGGACAAGUCAUUUUUUUAUCUCAAGUAUAUAAAGAAUUCUUUUCAUAUAUUAAUUUUUAAGAUCUCUUACCAUGUAUUCUAGGAGUCAUUAGGACUUUAUUUUUUAUGUAUAAUAAGAAAAAGACUUACAAUAUAUUUAAUUUUAGGAGUUUAAAGUUCUUAUUUAUCACAAUUCUUUUCAUAUAUUUAAGAAUUAAUAUCAUAAAUAUAAUUAAAUAACAAAUUGAGAAAAUAAUAAAAAAGAUGAUUUUGUCUAUUAUGGAGUGCUUUAAUAAAGGGUAAAAAGUUCAAAUCACUUGGAUCUUCACACUUUUAAUAUAUUAUAGAUUAUAGAUAGAUGUCGAUUAUUCGAUUUUCAGAAAUAAAUUUAAAUAUAUGUCAUAUAUUGCAGUUUGCAGAUUCAUUAAAAGGGAAAUUAAACGUUCCUUAACAAGAAUUAUUGUAUUCUGAAAGCUCGAGAGUUAUAUUCAUCGAUCCUAUCCCACCUCAAUGCGAUUCUUCCUAAAAUAUAGUUUAAUGUAUCUCAAAAUUAAGUCAUGAUAUGUUUUAGAAGUAGUUUUUUAUUCAGUGUAGUUUACUACUGUAUCCAAAGAAGGCAUACCAAAUUUGAAUUCUUUGGUCAUACAGGCUUUAAUUUGAACUAGAAAGAGAACUUUUUAUGAAUUAGGAACCUGAAAAAUAAGCAAAUAACAUGCUUCGAUUAAUUAAUCUAAAAAUAUUACAUUCCUCAUAGCUAUCAUUUCUUGUCAAAUUGGGUUGAAUUAUUAGUCCAAAUAUACAAUUCCAAUAAAGGGUAGUUAGAGCUAUAUGUCUAAAAAAAUUGACAAGAUAUUAUUUGUUGUCUUUUCAUAUAUAAUGAAGAUACAAAUUAGCAAUAAUUGUGGAGAAGUUGCAUGCUUGCAUAGUUAUAUUAGAUGAGGAGUAGCUAUCAACUUGAUUUCAAUGGAAACUUGUGGUGCAUAUUAUUCUUUAUAACAAAAAUUUUUGUUGUUUUCUUUAUUAACUUGUUCUGUUUUAAGUCAAAAGCUUCCUCAGAUGCUGACACAAAUGUUUGUACUUAUUAUGUUAAAAAAAGUAGUAAUUGAUAAUAAUAAUAUGAAGGGGAAAAAAGCAAAGAGUUAGGUCUUGUUAUUGCUUUACACACAAUUAUUUUAUUAUUAUUAUAAAACAAAACAGUCAAUAAUUCAUGCACGCACACACGUGCACGUAUAGAUAUGUCCGAAAGACUCCUGGAAUUAUGUUAUGAAUAUAUAUAUUAUUAUUAUUUUCUUUGAAGGAUAAAUACAAAAUAUAUAUGUAUAUUUAAAGAGGGUAAAGACACUAAUCUUCACCAAUCUUAUUUGUUAAUAAUUAAUAUGAUGACUUAGUAAAUGAGCAUGUGAAAAAAGGAAGAAACAUAGUAGCUAGUAAUAGUAUCUACUAGGACAAUAAAUAUAGUAUAUAUAUAUAUAUAUAUAUAUAUAUAUAUAUAUAUAUAAUCUAUUGCAACCAUUAGUAGUAGAAGAAGAUAAGCAUGAAGAAGGUAAACUUAAAAUAUAUAGUAUAUAGUUUUGGACUUCCAAUUAGAAAAAACUGGACACACCAAACUUGCAACCGCACUUUAGGGCGGAUUUUGAGAUUCCAUGGUAGGAAUAUUGCCAAUUUGGUUGGUCUCUCUCUUUACUUUGUAAUUUUUAUUUAGAAAAAAAAAAUGUUAGAAAGAAAUUAAAAAUAUGAAGAUUACAAGGUAAAAAUCGAAUCACUUAAAUUUAAUAAAUAUUUGAUCGUGCAUGUGAAUUUGUGAUCGUUUCGAGUAUCAAAUUACUUUUUGCUUACCAUAUUAAUCAUUAAUUAAUGCGUAUAAUAGAACUUUAUAUAUAAACAUCUCUUGUAAAAAAUGACUUGAUAAUUGAGUAAAAAAAUUUUAAGACGAUAGUAUACAAACUUAAACCUUUUUUAUUUGUUGAUUAUCAGAAUGAUUAAACAUUCCAAAGGAAACAAAGCCCCCUAAUUUCAUGGAUCUUGAAACCAAAACUUCCACACUCCACAGAUUAGGAGAUACAAAAAUGGAUUAAAGUCCAAGAAUGUUGAAGUGUACCUUAAAUAUGAGUUGCUUAAUAAUCAAAGUUUCGAAUGUUAAACAUCAAAUCAGAAAAUGAGAGGACAUGAGUAGCUAGGGGUGGGGGUGGGGUUGUAUUAAAUUUUAAAUUAUGUUGUCAACUUGCACAGUAUUUGAAGCAAUGAAAAAAGAUGACCAGGUUAAUAAUAUGGUUGGUCCUAAAUUUGCAAGUGAGAGUGACAAUUGGACCCCAUUCAUGUGCUAUUGAUUGUUAUAAUAAACCUCUUUGCCUCUCACAUGGGAUUUAUACACAAAUUUGCUAUUUACUUUUUGAUUGAUAUAUAUAAGUUACACAUUAAUUAUACGCGAUCAUAAAUUGUACAUAUAUUAUAUAUCCAGCUGUUAUUUCUAAUAUAAUUAACGGAUGAACGAUUUAUUAGAUAAAUUCUUUCUUUUUAUAUUUUAAUAAUUAGAGAUUAUGAAGAGAAGUCUUAGAGUAAUCGAUAAAGUUAUUGUUAUAUGACUUGUGGGUCACAGGUUCAAGUCAUGAAAACAACCUUUUAUAGAAAUGCAAGGUAAAGUUACGUAUAGUAAAUCUUUGUGGCUCAAUUAUUCUCCGAAUUCGACACAUAGCGAAACUUUAUUACAACGAAUGCCUUAGUAAUUGAAAAAUAUAUCUCAUUUUUUCCCACCUCUUUUCCUAAUUUGCCUAUUCACCAAUGGUAUCUUCUAACCGUUACGAAUGUUCAUCUCCCUUUCAUUACCAUGUUUAAUUAUAUUCUUCAAAUUCUUUCUCCCAUUAUUUUUAGAUUUUUUGAAAUUGUCUGCUCUUAGCACGAUAGAAGUGUACGAUUAUAACAUGCAAAAGACGACUAGCUUUUCCACCGCACGGGUGGGUUGGCUUGCCUUUACUUUACAGGGAGAUAGAUAUAUAUGACUUCAAUAUAUACGCAAAGACUAUGUAAAGCAACAAUGAAAAGAGAAAUACAUGUAGAAAUAUGUGAUCAUAUAUAUUUUAAUGGUAAAGUUGCAAAAUUAAUAAUAUGUGACUUGCAUAACACCCAUUGUAACAUUAAAAAAUCAUGAAACCAUUUCUAUCAGGUUCAUGCAUAAUCAAUAUAUUUGAGAAUUCAUUAAAUAUUCAGCAAAUAUAAGAUCUUAACAAUAUAAUUCAUUGAAUCGUUUUCAUGAUAGCAAUGAUAUGAAAAUGUUCUUCUCAAGACUAGUCAUUCAAACCUACUUUUGUAUCUUUAAUUAGUCGUUAUGUCAUAUUGCUUGUCUUUCUUUCCGAACCUUCUUAAGUUGUCUUUUUGCAUCAGACUUUUUGUCCAGAUUCCUAUCAAUUCCUUUGAGUUUUGAUCGUGCGAUCGUACUUUCAAGGUAGAGUACUGCUUCAUGUGUUACCAGGGCCUUUGAUAUAUAUCGAUCUAGGAUGUACACUUACCGUUUAAGACAUAAAUAACCGGGGUAUCUAACAUCUAAUAUAAUAGUAUAUUGUUCGCUUCCCAUGUUUUCAAUAGGGAGCCAUAAUUUAAAAAGGACAGUCUGGUGCACUAAAGCUACCGCUAUGUGUGGUGUUCGGAAAAGGGCCUCACCACAAGGGUGUAUCGUAUGCAGCCUUACCUUGCGUUUCUGCUAGAGGCUGUUUCCAAGACUUGAACCCGUGACCUCCUGGACAACAACUUUACCAGUUACUCCAAGGAGCCAUAAUUUAAUAUUUCUUAAAAGAAGGUGGUAACAUUUUCUAAAAACUCGAUUUUUCUAUUCUUUUCAAUUGAGAAAGACUUCAAAGUAAAAUAUGUCUAAAGUACUCAAACACUUCAACUUUUUCCAAUAAAAUAAGAAAAGAAACUGAGUUUAUAAAAUCAUAGAACAAACAACAUGUUUUUUUUCCUUUCAAUUAAUUUGUUUAACUGUAAUUUGACAUGAAGUUUAAGAGAGAGAGAAAAAGAAUUUUAGAUCUUUUAAGUCAAAGUAAAAGUACGUGAAAAGUAGCAAAAUGUGUUUAGUCUUGUGGCCUUAAGAUAGACAAUUAUAGGCAAACCCAAAAAUUAAGGCUUUUUACAUGACAAGACAACGUAAUUAAAAUCAGGUAUCCCCAACACUAAUUUAAAAAUAACCAAUAUUUAUAAUCAGGACAGAUAAUUUCACUUUUUAUGAUAUAAUUCCAUAUUGUUUGGAUAAAUAUGUCCUGGUUUUAGUUUAUCUCCACGUCUAUCUCAGCGAAACCUAAAAACUCAUUCCCUCUGCUUUUUUGGUUUGUGUGUUCUAGUGCGAUUAUAUUUAAUUUUAGUAUAUCAAACUAUUUUUCUGUUCUUCAACAAGAGGAGAUUUUAGUUUGUAUGUUCUAGUGCGACUAUAGUAUAUAUUGAUUGUUUAGUUUUAUUGUAUUGUAUUAUAUUUUUAAAUCUACUGUUACGUGAUUGUGUGGAAGGAUUAUUUGUUACGAUGGAUUUGUGUUUUUUUUCUCUCAACUUUGCAUUUUUUAUUUUUUUUAUAAUAAUAAUCAUGUAUUAGAGAUGCCGAGCCGAUUUAGAAUGUAAUUUGAAGGUUUUGGCAAAAUUAUCCUAGAUAUACUUUAAGAAAGUUAAUUAAAAGUUAUAACUUUAUUUUUUCAUAAUUAUAAAAUUAAAUUUUUAAUUGCAAGUUGUAGCAGAUUCUAUAAUUAUUUUAAUAUAUUAAAAGAGAUAAGUGGGAAAAAAUUUAUCUUCUAUUAAUUUUGCAUGAUUUGGUUAGUGUAAAUGAAAAAUAAAUUCCCUAAUUCUCUCCUCUCAUAAUUAUCCACCUAAUUCCAUCACAUUCAAUAUUUCAAAUUUAUUAAAUCUCUUUCUAUAUAGAUCAAUAAUAAACUGAAAUAUCUAUUUGUUCCGUUUCUUUCUCUUAAUACAGAUAUCGAAAAAAUAUUCCUAUAAGAGAAAGUAUCCGUAUAGCAAUUUUUUCUUCUGAAAAUCAUCCAAAAUUGUAAUGAAAGUAAAUUGUUUACUUGAAGAUAAAGAUGGUUGAAAUAUAGAAAAUCUGCAUUUUUAAGAAGGUCAAGAAUAGAAUUAAAAUCUAUAAAAUCUACAUCUUGUUCAAGUGAGUCGUCCAAAUGUUGGAGUAUCUAGUAAUGUCAUGGGAUAUUGUAAAUAGUUUCAUCAACAAUUAUGUUUGAAAAAUUGGCUUAAGAGUCUCCUUAAAAAAAAUAGAAAAUCAUAAAUUAUGUGAAGAAGGAGAUGAACGAAAAGUUCAAUUGAACGAAAAGUUCAAUCAUUUUGGAUCAGCCUAUUAUUUUUUUCCGUUAGUAGUAGAAGCUUUUUAUUGUGUAUUAUAUCGGAUUUUAUUUCGCUAUGUAUUGUAUGAGUAGGAUGCAUAAUAUGGUAUGUUCACCUCGUUAUAAUUUUACUUAUAUGUAUGAAAUGAGUGUAUAUAAAUUGUUUUACUUAAUUUUUUUUUUUAUAUCAAGUUAGAAAUAAAAAAAAUUAGUGUAUUGGUUGUGUAUGAAAUAUUGUUUGGUGUACUUUUAUUUUUUAGGGGUCUAAAAUUUGUAUAGAAACUGGUGUAAUUAAGUAUGCAAGAAUUUUGUACAUAUUUUAGUGUGUGAAAAUGGUAAUAAAAUGAGGAAUGAUAUAAGAAAUUAUAUAAGAAAUCAGUUUAUAUAUAUCUCAUUUAUUAAAUGGUAUUUUUUAUCGGGUCUCAAUGUAUGUAAUUUGUAUUAAAACUACAAUAAAAAAUGUUAUGAUUUUUAUGUGAAGUUAUUUGAAAACUAGGUUUAUACCAAACACAAACUUAAUCAAGUUUAACCAUGUUAUAUAUCGAUAUCAUAUACAAAAUUAUUUUUGAAAUUUAAAUUUUCUAUCUAUGAAUUUGAUAUGUAGAAUGAUAUACAAGAAUGAUGCUUACUUAUUAAUGUUUUUAGUGGAUGAAAAUGAUAUUGAAAAAUCGAAGUUCUGGAUAAUACUUUUUUGAUGUUACAAUCAAAAUAUAUAAAUUUGUAUUAUAAUAAAAAAAUUCCAACGAUUGUGAUAAAAAGUUGGAUAAGAUUGGGUUUCACUCGAAAUUUGAUUUCUAAUUUUUGAAAGAAGAAGAAGAAAUGUGUAAAUCUGUAUUUGAAUAAAAAAAAUUCUAACGAUAAAGAUUAAAAAAAUUAAGGGUGAAUGAAGGAAAAAAACAUUUUUGGAGAAGAAGAAGCAAUUUUUGGAGAAAUGAAUAUUUUUGGCAGAAACAUAGAGUGAUUGACAUCCUUUUAGUAACUGACAUCUAUUUUAAAGGAUAUAUUUUUUUAACAAAAAUAAAAACAUAUUUUUGAAGAAUUUUAUUUGUUUUAAAAGUCUUAUUAAUUUUUUUUAAUUUAAAAGUUGUUACCAAGUGCAAUCUAAGAAAUAUUGUUAUGACUUGCAAUAUACAAUCGAUGUAUAUUUUGAUUUUUUUUCCCUUUGGCUAAUAUUACUUUGAACAUAAACCUGUCUAUCUACACUGUUCAAAUAAAUAAGACUAAUAAAUAAAUACUUCAUUGCUAACUUUAAACUUCAAUUCAAGGUAUUUUGAUUUAUAUAAAGACAAAUUGAUCCCUUGACAGAAAAAACUGACUAUUCGCCCUUAAAUUUGAAAUGAAAGACCUUGGAUAAGCUGAUUUGAUUUUAGCGAUAAAAAUCAAAAGAACUGUUAAUGGAUUCUCUGUGUUAUAUUGAAAAGAUGGCAUGAAAACACACACAUCUUUUAUCAUCAAAGCAAUAAAUUUAACGUAUGAAAAGAAAUUAAAUGAAUGAAUUGAACUUAAAUUGUAAUUUCUUCAUUCGAACAAAAAAUUUUAUACACAAUCCGAGCAAAUGAUCUGGAGAUCUCUACAUGAAUACGAAAAAUACCUAUUACAUACUUAUAGGAUCACCAAUUUCAGAUAGAACACCCACACGGUUAAAAAAUCAAAUACACACACAUUCGUUUCGAUUUUCGUCUCUGAUAAGUUUGGUGGCAUACACUUGCAAUUGACUUUAUAGAGUUCCAAGUAUCAAAUUUAUUAGUAUUUUUUUAAAAAGAACAAACUUUACAGAGUCAAUACGAAUUGGUGAGGGAGGAACACUAGCAACGGUAUAAUUAAAAAGUAAGGGUGCACAAGAACCGAGGAAAAAAGUCAGACUAAUGCUUCGGUUUGAUACUAGAUUUUAAAAAAAAAAAAAAAAAAAAAAUUCUAAACCCAACAGAUUUAAUUUGAUUUUAACUUAAAAAAAAAAGAGUCAAAAUUGAGCCAAACCAACCAGACAUGUAUACCAUUUUUGAAAACAACUUAUGUAGCAGACUAGUACUUCAGUCACCUUUGAUAAUUAGUGAGUGAUGUUUCAAUCAUGGAGGAGCUAUACAACAUGGGUCACCAGUUCUGGAUCGAGAAACCAAACAGCAUAAAUACAUGUCUCUGUCUUUAACCCCUUUUCCAUCAGGAAAAGAAACACAAUGUCCAUUCUCAAAUCCACACAAUCUCGUAAAAAUAAAAUUAAAUAAAGAAACAAAUUGAUAAAUCUAAAAUUUCAAGUGCCAAUGAAUGAGUAGCCAGCCACGUGCUUCCGAUGCAAUUAAUUUUCUGACUAUGCUUCCUGUAUGCUCUUGAACUAUCGGUCAGUUGGACACAAUUAUAGGUCAUGAUGCUCAAACUAAGUUAUGUAACACUGGGGACACAGGUACUUUUAUAAGCUUCAACCCAGCCUCUGCGCUAUUGCUUCUCAUCUGUUUCAGCCUGGAGAGUUUGUAUACUGCCGCUACUAUUGCUUACUGAAUCAGAGGAUGCUGCUGUAAAUGAUUUGAUAGAUGAUCGAAGUGAUUCUGUUCCCUCUGCAUCAAUUCUCUUGCACAAUGUGCAUCACAGUUACUGAUUACUUCCGUCAACCUCCCUUUUAACACCCCAAGUUCAACCUGCAAAUUAAACCAUGUACUGCGUGCAAUUCAAACAUUUGAGUUAAACAACAGUAUUUGCUUUGCUAGAUUUUCAAUAACGGAAUCAGAUAUCAUAUGGACAAACGUUUUAACUUUAUUCUAAAGCUCCACAGUAUAAGAAUCCUAGUGAUUCCCUGGAGCAUUUCUUUUCUUUUCUUUUCUGGUUCCAGAAAUUGGCAUUAAUAAUACCUUCUGAUAGAUGCUGUGAGGUUGUUUUCAUUGCCAACAACAACAACAACAACAAACCCAGUAUAUUUCCACCUAGUGGGAUCUGGGGAGGGUAGAAUGUACGCAGUCCAUACCACUACCUCUAAAGAAGUAGAGAGGCUGUUUCCGAUAGACCCCCGGCUCAAGACACAGGACAAUAUACAAAAAUAUUCAAAGCAUGAAAUAUGAUAAAACUAACAUAGAUACAACAUCCACAAAAGUAAUGUAUAAUACCAAACAAAAGACGCCAAAACCCUCCUAACUACGGACUACGAUUCAUCCACCCACCUUAUCCGUCUAUCCUAGUGUUUUUCCUCCAAACCUUCCUAUCCAGGGGUCAUGUCCUCAGUGAGACGUAACUGCUCCAUGUCACGUCUAAUCACUUCUCUCCAGUAUUUCUUCGGUCUACCCCUACCCCGCUUGAAACCAUCUAACGCUAGUCUCUCACACCUACGAACUGAGGCAUCCGUGCCCCUCCUCAUCACAUGACCAAACCAUCUCAAACCUCACUUCCCGCAUUUUUUCCUCCACCGAUACCACAUUCAAAAGGAUAUUCCCGAAAUGGAGUAAUCGAAACGUUGAAGAAGCUUAACAGCCAGUGCAUCUGCAACUU
rnacentral:lncRNA from 1 species